GUCAUUCUUGUUUUAUGUCUUUUUAUGCAAUUCAUUGGAUAGAAUGACUGAGUUUGUUCAAAUUUAAACAAAUGACUGGAUGUACUUCCGAUCUGAACUUCCGCACUGGUCCGAUCUGAACUCGCAUUGGUCCGAUCUGAACUCAGUUAUUUCUUCUGAAUGACUGAUGCUAAAAAGAUGGAAUGACUGAGAUCUAAGAUAUUCGCACGCGCGAUGAAUAGGUUUGUCCAAAUUAAUCGCCCUCAAUUCUCUUCGUCUUUCUCAAUCUGGGAUUAACUGAACAAUGCUUGGAAAGCAUGUGAAUUUUCUUAGCUCUUUAUCUCUCUCUCUCAAACUCAAGUUUCCUUCUGGUAAUUCAAAGGAUAUCUCCAAAGUAAGACGGGAUUUGCUGCAAGCUCGCAAAGUUUUGAAUGCACGGAUUUUACAAGAUUUUCACACAAUUCAAAAACAUCUCAAAUCCGAUUGGAGACCUGGACAUACUUUCUUUUUUACCGAUCUGAUGGGGAAAUAAUUCCAGCUCCCGAAAUGGGCCAUAAUCCAUCAUUUGAAGUUCAUGGGUAAAAGAACCCAACAGGAGAAACAGAGGAAAGGCCUGCUGGUCGCUGACCCCACAGAAGCGCAAGCCCAUGGUCGCAUUCCUUGCUCGUAUAGUACAUUUCAAGGCCCGUUUGAUCUAUUCUGUUGCGCUUCUCGGAGUCUUCAAACCAGUUUUACUGGAUCAUUCUGAAACUCACAUUGCACACUCUAGUUUCUUAAACUCGCAGUACAGUCACGACUGGAUACAGUGACUUUGUCAACCUUAACGGUUCUAUUGGUGCCUUCCUAGAGCAGUUUGCUGUAUCAUUCAGAAACUCGCAGUACACACUAGUCACUCCAGACACGAGAUGCCUACGGUGACUCACCGUCAAUCUUAACAGGUUAGUCUCUGCUCACAGGGUGAAGAAACAUGCACGGUGCAUUUAUGAGUUUCCGAGUGAGCAAUUGUCUCUUUUUUGAAAGAAAAAAAAGGUUACUUUGAUUACAGAAAGGCAAAGAAAGCAGGUUUACAGCGCCUCAUUCAGUACACUGCACAACUCCCAUGCCCUUUACUUCACCACACAGUUUCAGAGAAAACUUACCGACAGUUAAUAAUAUUAAGUAGGUAGCAUACUGCAAAGUGACACGCUAAAACUCCAACGGUACGCACCGGCAUACAUAAUUCUUGUUAACACAUGUAACUGGACUGCGACAAUAAAAUUUCAGUACCAAAGGCAUCGUACUUCAUAUUGUCAGCAGCACCUCCUCAAGAUUUUCAAGCACUGGGCACAACAUACUGCAAUUUGCUACAGAUUUCAGUAACAUGUCGUAGUUAUUUAUGAACGGCGAGUGAAUGUUUACAAGUUGUUGUCUAAACUAAUGAAUCGCCAUCCAGUUCACCAUGGAUGGCUGGCUUUCGUCGCCAUCAUUCAUCUACUGAAAUAUGAUAGGUCUAACAAGAGAAAGCUUGUUAAUCAGCCAUGCUGAAUAAGGUUUCCAGGAGGUAUUACAAUUCUCCCUCUGGCCCUGAGAGCAAUGACAUGAUGCCGAAUAGCAGGAAGAGUACUCCACUUGACAGUUCCACCUACACAACAAGACAGGCGACAAGUUAGCUGCAGGGUAUUUCAUACUUCGCAGGACACAGGCACUAAUGCCACUAUGGAAAAUGAGUUCGACACUAGUUCUGUUCCUACCAUCUUCUCAGAUAUCUGUGAGGCUAGGCUCUUUCCGCCAAGAACAGCAGCAGUAGUGCAGAGUGCUUGCGCUCUAAGAACAGUGAGAGGGCUUAUUAGGGACAAAAAUAAACAAUUUAAACAGAGGAUACUAGUCAAUAAAAGAAGCAUUUCGUACAUGAUUCCACCAAGCACAACGCCAAAUGGGUUUUCAUCAGCAGCCAAGCCAAUAGUAGCAAUCUGACAAGAGGUUCAUCAGUACAGCAAAAACAUUAUCUAUUUCUGACAUUAACAUGUCCUUUGCAAACCUUAAUACUUGAAUAAUACUUUCAUACAACUUACCUGGCUCUUGUCACCCCACUCACCGAAGAAUGUAAUAGAAAAUGCCUACAGCACAGAAAUCAAAAGGAUAUGUUAAUCUUCCUGAUAAAACACAAGAAUGGUACAUUCAUCACGAUUUCUUGCAUAUUAUCAGCAGUUGGUACCUUUAUAAAAAUUGGUGAAAAGAACUGCAUCAGAAACGGUCUUUGCUGUUUUUUCGUAUCCUCAUUUGCCUAACAUCAACAAAGAUUUUAGAUGAAAAUCCAAAAUAGCAUUAAAUCAGUAUCAAUAUAUGGUUGUGACACAAAUAAUGGCUAACAGAAAGUAAACACCAAUUAACAAGCUUUUCAUAACUGCCCCAUCCUCAAAAAAUACAAUUAUUCUCCAAACAAACAAUAAAAAAGAGACAUCAAAGUCGUAUGUGUUGGUGCAUUUAUGUGAAGAUGCAUAAGAAAUUCGUAUGUGUUGGUGCAUUUAUGUGAAGACACAUAAGAAACUCGUAUUUGCAAGGCAGAUGAGAUUACUGAGAGACAAUACACAUUCUGAUGAAGAAGUAGAAAUGUAAAUUCAUUUUAUUUCUCAUUUAUGACAUCUAUUUUUCAAAGCAUUCAGGGGCGUAAUCAUAUAAGUAUGCAAGAAGAAACAUUCUGUGAGAGAAUCUGGUCAACAAAUGACAACGAACAUAUCACUUUUGUACUGACCUUAGACUUAUUUUUUGAUUCACCUUUGUUACUCUUAAAGGCAGCAUCCUGAAAGCGGGCACAACUCAGCAAUAAGUUAUUUGAACUGCAGUCCAUAAAACAACAUAAUAAAAUGAUCAAAUAUGCCAACCAGCUCUGCUUCCACUUCAGCCAAUUCUUCCGAGUCUCUGAAAUGGAAGUUGCAUCAUUUAGCCAAAUCAAUCACUAAAACACCAAAUACAAAUAGCAGAUCAUGAGUUAACUGAAAGGCAGCAAGCAGAUCAGUACCCAUCUUCUUUGAAGCCUUCCCACAAUGACCAAAUGCCAAAUCCAAAGAACAGAAGAGUGGUCACAUGAUGAGUCCAUUUACGGGAUAUCUGUUCAACAUAAUACUGUCAGUUAAGUAGCAUCUGCAAAGCAAUAACAACAAAUUCCUAAUAACAUCACAAGAAAAUGAUUGAAAGGUGCUAAGAGCUAAGACUAAGGCAAACCCCUUUGUGUAAAGAAGAGCACCGAUCUUGUUUUAAUUUCAACCAUUAUACUUGACGAGAGUAUGCAUUUUAGCUACUAUGCUAAAUAUCUGUAAGGAUCCAGGAUUACAGCUGCAAAUUACAUACAAAGUAAAGUACAAUCAGGACUGCAACUAUGGCAUGUCUCCCAUCACCAAACAAAAAGCCACAUGUACUAAUAAUGCCUCAUAUUUGAGGACAUCUUUUCCCGAAAUCUCCCCCAAAUAUUUAUUUUUGCCUUUUAGAUACCAGCAAUCAUGUCCAUGUUGGUGCCAUAUGUUUGAGUCUUUCUGAGCAGCACUCACAAAAUAUACCCAACUUUGUAGCAUACAAAAGCAAACAGACAAUAAAACAAAUUUGUUUGUGUUCUUGACAUAAUAAAAUGUUGUGCAAGGCAGCUACAAUUCCACCAACAAUUACAAUGACUUACCAGAUUUGGUGCAGCCCAACCCAGACAGGCUGAUAGAGCUGUCAUCACCUAAAAUUAGUGACUAAAUCAAUUAACUUUUGUUCAAAAAAUAAAUUAUACAGAUUUAGAAAAGGAUACCAUAGGGCAGCAUGUAAAAUUUCGAAUAUACUCACUAUCAAUGCGGUCAAACAGCCUGCCAGGACGAGCUUCCUUGGAUGGCGCAUGGCCAGAAUCUAAUAAAGAUAAAUAAAGCAUGAGUAAAUCCAGUACUCGGAACAAGGGCCAUAAAAAAAGAUGCGUAUGAAAGCAGGCAUUGGAAAAUGUUGAUGAGCAUAUCAAGAAAGGGGCAUGUUUGUCUUGCUAGGCACAGACCCCGUCAAAUCCCUCAUCCUCUCAAGCCAACACCCAAUCCUCCUGCUUACGUUACUCCGAGGCUACCCUGGUGAAACAAUUCUUGUGGAAGAGGACAAGCAUCCCAUCAGAACUAUUGUCCUCCAGAACAGAAACGAAGGACCCCACCGAUAUGGCAGGUUAGCGAAUUCGGCAAAGUGCACAGCUCGAGCAAAUCGCGAGGCCUGGCGCCCCACAGUCCGCACCCACAUGCGUGGAACCCACGCGCGCUGAGCUAAAUGGAGUAAAGUUUUUUGCGGCCGCAGCAAACCAAGCGCACAGUUCAGUUCCCCAGCUGGUUUCCUCGGUGGAGGAGCAUAAACAAAUCCGAGCUCCCAAUCUACAUCUACCAAGUAGCUUGUCAGUUAUUAGUGAUAACAAAAAAAAUUCCUAAUCUCAGCUGCGCUGUACUAACUGACAAGCGACUCCGGCCAACAAUUCGACGCCAAAGGCGUCCCGCCCGCCCGCUCCAUCGGCGAAUCUGCCGCGAUCUCGUCACGGAGCCGAGUCAGCGCCGGGCGCCGCCGCGGCGAGGGGGGCGGGCAUACCGUCGAACACCUGGCGGGAGCGGCACCUGACACGGGUGCGCAGACGCGCGGCGCACGCGAGCAGAGGCGGGCACGGCAAGCGAAAGGACAGGGACACAGGAGGAACAGCAGGGCGAGACGGGGGGAGGAGGCGUCAGGGGGAGAGGGCGUACCGCGGCGGCGAAGAAGGUCUUGUCCCCGAUCUCGGAGAGGACCGUCAUGGCCAGCGACUUGGUGAACCCCUGCACGCACCGAGAACCAUGAGCAACAAGUCAAGUCGCCGCCGCCUCUGCUUAACAUGGCGAAGACGUCGAGCGAGCGAGAGAAGGAGAGGAGUAGGUGACCCCGAGCAGAGACGGCGCCAUGUCGAAGGCGGAGGGCGGCGGGCGAUCCCGAUCUCGGGGGGCGCGGCCGCGGCGGGUGUAGAGAAAGCAGAGCGGAAGCGCUCUGGGCGUGGGCCGCGGGGGCAGAUGCGAGGGAGGGGAGUACCGGCCGCAGCAGCAGCGGCGGGGGUCAGCAGUAAAUAGACGAGACGGGCAGACGGCGCGGCGUGGGGUGGGUGCGGACGAGCGCGGGGCCGUCGGAUCCGGGACGGGCGGCGGCGUCGCGUGCCCGCGGCUAUUUUUAAAAGGCGGGGAGGCGCCGGCCGGUUGGGUGCGGUGGGAAUCGGGGCUCGGCCCGGCCUGGCCUGGCCUGCUGCUGGUGGGUCCGGACGCGAGCCGCCACCGGCGCUCGUGCGCGCGUGUGGUGCCAGCCAGGCCGGCGGCAUCCCGAGCGAGCCGCGCGGCGGGGUCCGGGGUCCCGGCGCCGUCGAUGCCGGAUCGUGCGGCCGGGAGAACGGCGUGGGGGCCGGGGAGUGGGAUACGGGAAGGAGCCCGCGCACGCCAAUUGCCAACGCACGAGAUUGGCAGAUUGCGGCUGCUGAUGUCGACUUGCUUUGUUUCUUUUUUUUUCCGUUUUCUUCCUUUCCUCUUAGCAUGCUAGAUGCGGAUCGUAGAGUACAUCUACCGUCCUUAUUAAAAAAGAAAAUAAAAAGGGAAAGGAAUAUGAUACCAGCCGGUGCUAAAUGUAAUUUAUUACUGCAAAUUCGCAUUUCACUCUGCUGAUGUGUUUGUGCUUUUUUUUUUCUUUUGGUCAGCUCGAGCUAUUCUGAAUUCCUGAUCCUUUUCUUUUCGCUCCUCUCCUUGGCAACCCAUAUUCGUUGCAUGUGAAAAAGAUGCAGGAGAAUGUGAUGCCGCUAAAGCAUCCAAGAUCAAGUCUCACUUUGAGCAAGCAUAUAUAAUCAUCCUUUUGGCCCUUAUAGGCUUCUAGCUAUAUAGAUGAGCGGCUGUAAUUUAAAGGCGCACGGAUGAAUUGGGUUCCUUGCAAAAGGAUCCCAGUUGCCAGGUUCUCGGAUAACAUAUUCCCUAAAUAUAGAUUGAGGAAGGUAACAAGAGGACGGUGUGUCCAUCAAUGCCCCGUGGUAAAUAAAAUAUUAUCCAUGGUAGUUUAGUUAGUGGCAGGAAUCCUAGUGCCAUAUUAUAACUUGCCAUUAAAAACGGGAGAAGAAGCUAAUUUAGAUUAGGGCACGGAUGAUGGCAUGAUGCAACGCAGUUUUCGAAAGAAACGUGUGGUUUCUCAAUUAGCUGUUGUUGUCUCGAUGUCAAUGCAGUGGCGGAGGAAGCAACAAAAUCAUGGUAUGGCGAAGAAGAAAAGAAAAAAAAUUGACGACAAAACAAGUGUUCAAUAGAAUGACAAUAAAUACCUUAAGUUCUUGAAGCUUUGCAAAAUUAAGUUCUUGAAGCUUUGCAAAAUUGCAACACAAGCAACACUGCAACAUGCCAACAGCCCUGUUAUUCCCAAAUCCCAAUUCCCAAACGAGCAGGGGCGCGGGGGGGGGGGGGGGGGGGGGGGGGGGGGCGGGGCGCGGGGGGAGAGGGGCUGGGGGCUGGGGGCUGGGGCGGCGCGCAGGCCGCGGUGGGGAGCAGGGACAGCACGCAGUAGCGCGCAGGGGGCAGCGGCGGUGGCGCGGAGGCCGGAGGGUGUGGGGGGGAGGGGGCGGCGGCGGCGGCGCGGGGGGGAGCAGGGCAGGGGCGGGCGGGAGGCGGCGCUCGGGGGAGCAGGGCGGCGGCGCGGGGGGAGCAGGCCAGCAGGGCAGGGGCGGGCGGGCGGCGGCGCGGGGGAGGGGGGAGCAGAGCAGGAGCAGCGGGCGGCGGGAGCAGACGCAGGGGCGGGCGGGCGGCGGCGCUCUGGGGGAGCAGGGCGGCGGUGCGGGGGGGAGCAGGGCAGGGGCGGGCGGGCGGCGGCGCUCGGGGGAGCAGGGCGGCGGUGCGGGGGGGAGCAGGGCAGGGCGGGCGGGCGGCGGCGCGGGGGGGGGGGGGGGAGCAGAGCAGGAGCAGCGGACGGCGGGAGCAGGCGUAGGGCGGGCAGGCGGCGGCUCUCGGGGGGAGCAGGGCGGCGGCGCGAGGGGGAGCAGGCGCAGGGGCGGGCGGGCAGCCUAAAAAUUUUGGUACCGAUUGGUGCGUAGGUAUGGCAACCGCCAUACCUUGCCACAUUAGUAGCUCCGCCACUGUGUCAAUGCAUACGUGACACAUCGUAAGGCUAACGAAAGCAAAAUGCACUCCUCCUCCUUCAACUAUUGAAGUGGACAGCAUUAUUCCUAGCUUACAGCUAAAAGGAAAAAAUAAAGGGCAUGUUUGGAUCAAGUGACUAAAAACAAAAUAACUAAAAGCAGCAGUAAAAGUGACUAAAAUGAAGGGCAAACCCUCUCAACUCCUCCUUUUAGCUCCUCUUUGGUAGCUAAUGGGAUUAAAAUAUUUUUAGUUAUUUUUAAUUAUUUUGUUUGGAACUUUAGUCUCUAAACUGACUAAACGAACCAAAUAGGGCCAAAAUAGUAAUACUUUUCUUUCUACGUGAAGUUAACGUACGUGUAGACGUACAAUAAGCGCAUCAAAAUAUAUAAUGGAGAUGUGUGUUGACUUUUUUGAGAAGAAAAUGAUGUGUGUUGACUUGAUGAUAUUUUAGAUUUCUGUUAGAACUCGUAGAGGAGAUGUAUGAUUGCAUUGCCUUGUCCUCCAUAAAGAUUCUUUAAAAAAAGAUUCUAAUUCUUGUUCCAAGGGUACAUUAUUGUUAGUUGUGUGUACCCGGAAUGUGGCCCUGUUCCUGAUAAUGAGUGCGUCGACUGCUAAACCAAUCCUGUUUUAUUUAGGUGCCAUAAUUAUUGACAAUGAAAAGGUAUUCAAACAUCACGGGUUGACUUUCCUGGGCACGGCAGGUGCGGGUGUUUUGUCGAUAUAAAAGCACUGUAAGAUAUUGACUUUGCAAACUUCCCCGUCAAAAGGGAAAAAGUUUGGAAAAGAACGACAGAAGUAGUCUCAUAAGAUUAGUGGCGGAAGAUUACCCUGUUCUGAAAUUCAGCAUUUCGAAAUAUUGGAUUCAACAAUUUUUAAAAGAUGAAUCAACAUUAGAAAAUAGCGGAUUCAACAUUUCUCACAAACAUAUUGCAACAUAUAUUUUUUUUAAAAAAAUACUAAGAUCAACAAUUUUUUAUAACCUAUUUCAACAUUUCAAGAGAAUGGAUUCAACAUUUUUGAAAAUCUAGAUCAACAUUUUUAAAAACCUAGAUCAAUAUUUUAAAAAAUAAUUUGUUCACUAAUUUUCUUCCCCGGCGACGGUGAGCACAUGCGGAGCGAGCACAGCGGUGGCGGCACGCAGUGGAAGCGACAGAGCAGGGCGUGGUGGUGAGAGCGGUGGGGGCAGGGCCGGAGAGACACGCUGGGCCCGCACCAACCACGGUGGCCGGAGCGGCGCGCGGCAACCAAAGCAACGUGCGGCGGAGGUGCGGGGCUUGUGCAGCAGCGGAAGCGGAGAUGGCAUGCAACAGCGGGAGCGAGAAAUGCGGAGGCGGAGGCCGCGGGCAGCAAGAGGGUCGGGGGUGGGGUGGGCGGUAGGGCUGAAGCAGAGGAGGUAAGAUCAAACUCAGAACCUUGCACGAAUCUCAAACACGGAAUCCGUAUAAUUCGUGGGCUUCCGGAAGCUACAUAGGUUUCCUGCAGCCCACAGACCAUGAGCUGCGUGAGUUCUCAAGCCCAACAAAAACCGACGCCAUCACGGGCCCCCAUGGGCCUCCACGAAAAGCAAGCGGAAAAAGCCCGGUGGAGAAAGGAACGUGUGGAGGAGGUGCGAAUAUUCCAUGGAGUCGGGGAGGAUUCGAGGAGAGCCUGGCCGCCUCCUCCCUCCGCCGCUAUCUUCCGCGCGGGAGGGGACGAUCCUGUCGGGAUCAGGCAUCCUCCCCUCCCUUCUCCGCCUCCAAUCCUCCUCCAUCUACCCUCAGCUCCGCUCCCGGUGAGACGAGGGAGGCGGGGAGCUAUUGCUGCGGGGGGCGGUGAGAGGGAGCGGGGCCGCAGCUGGAGGAGAGGGGGAGCCAGCGCCUCCCGCGGUUUGAAUCGGCUCUCCCCCCGGUGCGUUUCUUCUGCCAAAUGAGCUCCUUAGCGUAGUGGCAAGCGAUAGGAAGUUAAGAGCAGUUGAGAAUUUUCAUCGGAAUUUGUCGUGUGGUUAGGCUUAGGCCCCGCGAGCAGAGCAGCAGGCGUGAUUGUGGUGGGAAUUGAGCCGGGGAGCUGAGCCUGGUUGCAUGGCCGGGCGUGGCGUAUCUCGUUUCGCGGUUGCGGAGAAACGGGGACGGAAAGGAGUCACUUCUUCACUUCGUUGGUUUCUUGUGAUGCGCUCUGUUGAGUGCGAGCCACUUUGUUGUGCUCCCUCCUUAGUUAGUUUGUUAGGUGGGCGUGGGGAAAUUCGUAGCCUAGUCCUAGUUGGCAAAAUCCACUGCCGCAAGCAUUGUGGAAUUGUGGAUAACUCCUUGUGUGCCAUGUCAUGUCAGGAUAGCAAACAGCCGACCACACAUCCUCAUAAUCGAAUUGAACCAACAUGGACUUCAUUUCUGCAUACCUAGGGACUAGGAGCUAUAAGAUAUGCUCACUUCAUUUCCUCAAAAAGAAAAAAAAAUGCUCACUUCGUGUAGUGCUUCAUACAAUCAUAUGGUCUAGUGCUUACAUUAUCAUUAUGUCAUUUGUGCGAUCAUGUAGAGUUGUAGACUGAGCUUCUGACCUUCUACCAUGCUCCGAACUAACAUUUCUUUUUUGCAACAGGAUACCACUUGUCCUGCUUAGUGGUCAAGAUAGAAAUAGGUUAAAUAAAUGCGAGUCCAAGAAGAUGCAAGGCCUUCUGGGGGCCUGAAUGGACUCUACGGGGUACAAUUUGCGGGUCAGUCGCUAUACAGUGAUGACGAAGCAGUCAAAACUAGCAUUAUGGAUUCUUCAACUUGUGAAUCGCAGGAGGGUGUUGGCUCAAGCCGGCGUUUGCAAAUCCGGUAAGUUUCUUGCACCUACACAUGAACGCCGUUCAGAAAUUCAUUAAAUUGUGUUUCUUAAUGAUUUAUUUUGUACUUACAGGCGGCUAUGGCAGCAGAGACCCCCAUGCUUGAAGCCUAUCCACUGUAGCCACUCAUGUAUGUGUAACCUAUCACAUUGGUAGAAUAUAAGUUUCCUAGCUGAUCAUUUGGUGACUCCAUUGUGUAAAUCUUAUUCUGGUCCAGGUGAUAAACAUGUUGGCGAAACUAUUGCUAAUGUUGUCACCUCACUUCCUUUCAUCGUUCUUGGACUGCAAACUCCAAGGCAAGCCCAUGUCUGAACCAAUAAAAAUAAUUUUUCGUAAAGAUUGCCUUCUGAUUUGUUUCUCAGUUGCUACCAAGUAUCAACUAACGGUUAUGUGCCAGUUGUGCAGAAAGAACUUGAAUACUGCACUUUAUGCAAACUCGUUAAUUGGAGUUGGAAUAGCUUCUAGCUUGUACCAUACUUCACGAGGAGAAAUCAGAAAAUAUUUGCGAUGGGCAGACUAUACAAUGAUUGCCACUUCAACACUAGUAAGUGAAGUAUUCUCAUAAGAUGAUUGCUGAAGCAGAAUUUGUACUACCCUUCAUGCAUAUCCAUUCUGGAAGAACCAUGAAAAGCAUGUGACCCAACUUGGUUUGGUUUGUCUGCUAGAUAGCUGUCUUUCAGAAUGUACCAAUAUCAAUUACUACUUUCAUGUUUGAAAUCAGCAUGCACAUGCAAGUUCUUGUGUAUACUAUCAAUAGCUGCAUUGACUAAAACCCUUUUUAGGGCUGUGCUAAGACAGAAACUCGGAUGUUUUAUAUGAAGUAUUUGAUGUGUUGAGCAUUUUGACAAAACAUCUUUCAUGCAGUGCUUAUCAAGAGCUCUUCGGGACGAGAAUCCAAAGUAUCUUAUGGCAGCAUCAACAUUACUCCUACCAUUUCAACCCUUGAUGGUUUCAGCCAUCCACACUGGGAUAAUGGAGGCAAGUAGUUCAAAGCUCAUGACAUCUUAUUCCAAAUACAAUAAACAAUUCUGAUUCUAAGUAUGCUUGUAUAUAUGCAUAUACUAUUUUGUUUGAUUUAUAUCAUUAUUUUGUCAGUCUUGCCAUAUCCAUCUUUCUAUCUGUUCAGGCGACCAAUUCUAACAUCCUUCCCUCCCUCACCUUAGGUGUCAUUUGCUAAAAGAGCAUCGAUAGAACCAGAGCUCAAGAUGGCGCAUAACCUACACAAGAUGUCGUCUUUACUGGGAGGCGCCCUAUUCAUUGCUGAUGACGUCUUCCCACAAACUUCUUACCUCCAUGCUGCUUGGCAUCUAGCUGCAGCGCUGGGGGUCAGCACCUGCAACAAGCUUCUUGAGUGACAAUGCAGGCGAGACAGAGUACAAGACGAUCCUUCGACCUAGCUGGCGCUGCUGUCAUCAACAAGCAGUUGAUAGUGAUUUUAUCAAGACGUCGACAUUAAGCAUGUCAUACGGUACAUAUGCAUUGUUCUACAUUGAACCCAAAAUGGAAGCACCUCUAGAGAGAAUAGCACAUUUGGAAUUAGGUGAUCCGGGCAUCAGUUUAUGCUUGUAUUUGUUGUAUAAUAUAGCAUUUUCCUGUGCCAGCAACAGAUAUAUUAUGAAAGUUGGAUGUGUACAUAGAGAUCAAACGUUUCGAUUCUACAUAAACCAAUUGAAAUGUAGCAUCACAUCCGUACUUCAAUUGUCUUGAUACAGUAUUAAUACAAUAGUUAAAAAAGUCAUCACGUUUGUCGAGAGAGAUAAGAGAUUACCACAUUAAUCAGAAAAAAAAGGAGAAAUAUAUAAUAUGUUAUUGGAUUUAUGAAGAUCCAACUGUGUAUACUAACCUUCCUUAAGAGAGUUCAUACGCAGAGCUGAAAUAUGAGAGUCUGAGUGGCGUCGCAAACUUGGAAUGACAGGGUGGUUUCGCGUAGUGACACAACUGUUGCGAUUGUGUUGCGGGGAGCGCCGCGUGGGUGGACAGGUCUUUGGACCCCUUUCAAGACCCAGAUGAUCGAAGCUGGUGCUCUACGAUUGCUGUUUUGACAACACUCGUGUCCUCCACAUACCUCGUACGGAAAAAUGAAGUAUGGCCGGUUCUUAACAAGCUGUCCUGGAGGCAUGUACAGUGGUGAUGGUCAUGGCCUGACUCUGUCUAUUCCGGAGCUACAGAUGAGAUUGCACACUUGAAUCUCUCAUUUAAAAACAGAAACAACUCCGAUCAUGCAUGGUGUUCUGUUGAGUAAAAGUAUGCCCAAUUGCUUGAAAGCUCUGCUUGCAUGCAUAAACAAUGCUUAGCAUGUUUUGCGUGCAAUGAUACGAUAUGCGACGUGCUUAAUAUGCCGGAAUUGUAGGCGGCUAGCUUGGCGUUGCGUCAUGAGCUAAGAGCAAACUGUGCUGCCUACACACCUGACGCAAUUGAGUAGUGACGCCCUUUGCAUCAAUGAGAGCAAGAGGGCAGACAAGCUGAAACUUCAUGUCUACUUUGCACGCGAAAUAUUUCAAAGUCGUAUAAGUUUGAUUGUUCAUGAAAGAUAGCUAACUUCUACAAGAAAAUAGAGAGCAUAGAAAAAAAACAUAGGAAUCCGGAACAAGAAAACAUGAUCGAGGUGAUAUCACAAUCCCUUUUUUUUCUCCCUUCGAAGUUGCUAUCAAAUGACUCGCUACGUAGUAACUUUUGGGGAACUUAUACACUGAUGACCUCAUUUGUUCCUAAUGACAUCAUAGGAAUUUAUUUCUGGUGAGACAUGCAUCAUUUAUUUUUUACGCUGACCUUGUUUGUUUCAAGUGACUGAAGAAAAUAUGAGAUGAUAAUAAUGUGAUAUCAUAGUUCCUUUUUUUCCUUCAGAGUUGCUAUCAAAUGACUCUGCUCCAUGGUAACUUUAAGUGGACUUUUACACUGACCUUAUUUGUUCCAAAUGGCAUCAUAGGGAUUUUUUUUCUUCAGGCGAGACCUUGUUUCAAAAAAAAAAUGGUUUUUAUUUUUCUUCAUUACAAACGAGGCGGACAGAGUCUCCCAUUAGCCUAGCUGUAAGCAAGCGUGCAUAACUUACCGUGAAUUGUUGAUUGAUGCCAGGUGUCCAAACCUCUACUUCCUUUAAGGAAAAAAAUACGUUGGAGAAUGUCUUAUGGUCAAUUGGUGAUUGAGGUAAUCGAGUGUUGAAAACUCUGCUCUCCUUUAAGUAAAAAUAUGAAUAGGAGGAUCUCUUCAAAUCAAGAGAACUAAAGAAAUUCAAUCUUGACUAUGAAUCCUAUCAUAAGAUGGUAAACUCAACAUCCGUGAGCAGCGCAGCUAAAUUGCUCACUGGCGAAUCCUAUCAUAGGAGUAUAUUAAAAAGGAAGAGGAGGCUCAUACGAGCGGAACAAAAUGGGUGACACUAAGAUUUCAGAUUUGUUGCCUCUUGGUUUGCAUGGUGCACGUACGUAUUUCCUACCUUGUUCCUCACGAUCUGUUUGCCAGUGGAGCAUAGCGGCGGCGGAUGGACCAGCUCCUGCCGGCGGGCUUCCGGUCCUUCCCGGCGGACGAGGAGCUCAUCACCUGCUACCUCGCUAGGAAGGCCAUGGACGCCAGCUUCACCUCGCCAGCCAUCCGCGACGUCGAUCGACCUCUACAAGUCCGAGCCGUGGGACCUGCCAUGUACGUAGUCGCUUCAGUAUGCUAUAUAUCCAGGCAUCCAAAAGCAAGUUAGCUGCGCUGCUCACUGUUGUUGAAUUGUUGAUCGAUUUUCCCAGGCGAGCUGCAUGCAGGAGGGCUACUUCUUCUGCACUAGGGGCAGCAAGUACCUGCCCGGCGUGCGCGCCCGCCGCGCGACGCGGUGCUGGUACUGGAAGUCAGACGGGGAAGGACAAGGCCGUGCACGGCAGGGACGGCCGCCUCGUCGGGAGGAGGAAGACGCUGGUGUUCUACCGCGGGAGGGCCCCGAGAGGGGAGAAGACAGGCUGGGCCAUGCACGAGUACACCAUGGGCGAGAGGAGCAGCAGCGCCCCCCUCAGAGGAGCACAGGUGCGCACGCACCAACCUCAACCUCAAAUGAAGAUGACCUAUUCUUUUUUUUUCCUUUGGUACUUACAUGUGUGCUUCCAUGGAGGAUACCUUUUACUUGCUUCGAUCUUGAGCUCUCUGACACAAUGAAUUGAAGCUAUGUUUCUGUAAUGUCCGAUUGUGAUCGAUGUGUUCCUGGCCAUAUGCAGAGUGAGUGGGUCAUAUGCAAGGUGUUCGUGAGGAAGCAUCCGAGGGGUGACGAAAGGAAGGUGGCACCUGAGGAGGCGGUGCGUGAUCAGGACUCCACUCAAGGCCAUCUCCUUCCAGUGCUACCGGACGGUUGCGACGGUCAUGAGCAGGAGGCGGCGCCACCGGCUGUAGUCACCGACUCACAGCACACGAUCAGCCACUCCGGUGCCCAUGUCAUGGAGGGUAAUGAGAAGGAUCAUCAUCAACAACAACACCACCACCACCAAAUGGUCCAUGAGGAGCUGCUGCUGAUGAUAGACCACCAUGGUCGGUGCGGCGCCUCGCCAUCCUGGUUCAACCAUGAUGACCAGCUGGGAUCGCAUUGCUCCGCGUUGCCAGUCAUGCAGAUGCAGUCGGACGACGCAGAUUAUUACCUGCCGGGGUUGCUGGAGUACGACGGCUGUGACGACUUACCGAACGACGCUGGGUCGGGGUUGCUUGACACCGGCGGUGAGGUGAACCGACGUGCUGAGAUAAUCACCUCUGCCACCAUUGGCCCUCUUCACUUCGAUGGUUUCUACUGGAACUUUGGUUUCUGAAAGGAAAUAUAUUCAAUGCUUGUGAUCUCAUCACUAUAUCUGUAGAUCAAUAGGGUAUAUGUGCGUGCAUUAGACAUAAAUUCUGAGGUCUUCUGAACAAUACUCCAAAUUACUUCCCAUGUAUGUGAGUUUGACGUUUAGACUAUAGCAGGUUGAUGGGUGUAAAGAACACUAGGAUUGGCACAAACAAACAGUAGUAUUGAUUAAACCAGGAAUAAAGUAGUGCUUGUAAAUACCAUGAGCUUCUACCUCUUUUCAUGCUAUGUAAAUACUUCUCAGGAAUGUUCAUCGAUCUAUUAAGAUAAUUGUCUAUGUGCAUGCAUAAGUGGACCACGACUUGUUAACGGCGAUACAAUCACUGAUAGGCAGAUUGUUCAUCAAUGAUUGGCUCUUUCACUUACUUGGGAGCUUCCAUCACUUCAAGAGGAGAAGGAUCAAGUUAGAAAAAUUGGAUUAGUUACUGAUAAUCUCUCCACCAAUCAGGAUUCAUGAACCGCGGGUUCACUGGAGAAGAGAUCUGAUUCACGUCACACAUGCUGAUAUCACAUUCCAUGACACUGUCCAAUCUCGUUGCCCUGCGACCAGCGUGUGGAUCUCAGCGACCAGCCGACCACGAGUAUUUUAGCAUCUCAUAUGAUUGAUGGCUAGCUGUUCCUGAUAAACUGAAGCUAAAAGGACAGCUCUUAUGUUGUUAAAACAAAAUAAUGAUUGGACACUUAUGACCGAAGGAAACUGUUGUCAGGUGGACAUGCCCGGUUAUUGGCCAACUUUUGAUGUGCUAUCAGUAUGGAAGUGGCUAGUUGCAACAAAGAAACAAAAGGAUAUACUUUAUUAUAAACCAGAGUGCAAGUCAAGGUGCCAAGAUGACUUAGGAUUUGGUUUAGUUGGUCAUUCAAUUUGAAUAUCAACGAGGCAAAAAAAUUGGCCUACUUGGCAGCGUUCAGUUUUAAUAUUAAAAAUUGCCAUCUAUGUUUGAUGGGUUGUCAUGCAUUGGCAAACCCUAGUCAAAAGCAUAGUAGAACCAAUAUUGCAUACCUCUAGUCUCGGUAAAUCACUGCUUCUUACAUGCUCUAUGAAUUUGCAAAAAUGGUACUAUCAUGAUUUUCACACAGAAAAAUAAUCUAAUUGUACAAGACACAUGAAGUAAUCUGACAUACAGUUACACCUUUCCUGUUUCACGCCUUUCAUCUUCCAUUGCCAAAAUGGCAGCAAAACAUUGACGUCUGCUUGAUAUCGUGUUUCAGAACAGUACAUGACAAUUGACAUAAAGAAACUAAGCCAACGCCUAAAGCUUCCACGAAAGAAAUACCUUUCACUAACAUUAGUUUAUCAUGUGUGAAACAAGUCAGGGGAAAAGGUGUGAAACAAGCCUUAACAGUCAACAGUGAUCGAGUACUUAAAUGUUCUUAAACCUCCUGUUGCUAACAGUAUUUAAGAAUAAUUUAGGAAAAUGAUGGGGACUAAACUUCCUGUAGACGUUGCUUAAUGAAUCACGCCUUAAGAUUAUUAGACCUAAUGUCAAGAUCCGAAAUUCCAGUUACGUCAGAUUGGUCAUACCUGACCACAGUACUGGUUAAAUUGACAUCACUGCAUGUGCAAGUUUUAUUAAUUCUCUCUAUAUGAGCAUUUGACUCCAACCUCUGUUGCCUUGAAUUCCUAGUACAGAAGACCCAAGAAAGGUUAUUGUAUACCUAAUAUAGGGAGAAUAAGUAAAUGACUGGAUACCUACAAGAGGGCUUAGAUCACUGAAAGGUGCAAGCGUAGCACAAGAAAGAAUUAGCUCUGCUCACAAAAAGACCAAAUCAAAGAUAUUGAAUGGUGUGACUAGCUAGCUAGAGAGCAAUCAGGAAAUGCAACUUGCAGGUGGAGGCAUUUUUGCACACGAUCACACAAGAGUCAAGGAAAAAAUAUACAAUUUAAGUGAACCAAUUGAUCAUCAAGAAAGUACUUUGACUAUGGAUAGAAUCACACAUUAUGGUUGCCUAUGGUUGUUCAUCCAACUAUGGGAGUAACAUAUAUUCUCACCUACCAUCAUGCUCCAAACCAUGGACAAAUCAAACAUAUUUGCUGCACUGCUAAUGGAGUGACCCUGAAGCUGUAGAUUAACUUCUAGUUCAUCAGUGGGGGUGCUGACAGCUUGUGUAGUUUGGACCGCUUCAAUACAGACCUAGAGUCAUAUGAGUGCCUUAAAAGUGCUGUCUGAGAUGCACAAGACGUACCUCAAGAAAAGGUAAUUGGAGGAGACAAACCAUUUGGUGCCAUUAAUAGGCCGUGCAUGUUCACAGUAAGCACUCAGGAGUCGGGACAUAUUAUCAGCCACUACUCUGAGUUUGACUUUUGAGAUAUCUGCCGGUUAGUUAUUCCUGCUUCUUCCAUAGCCUCCCACUGCAGUGAUGAGUGAUCUCAGAAAAUCUUGUGCUUUCUGAAGUAAGAUCCGGAGGGAGGGGUAAAUAUGUUAUUACGACCUUUGACUCUCCACUCCACUUCAUACCUUGGUAAACAAACAAUCUCGGAACCUUUCAAUGGAAGGUAGCAGGUACAGUUUGGGCAUUCACUUCUCCUUGAUUGGAUCUUUAUUUCGUUCCUUACAUCUACGAAUCAAAUCUGACGCUUCUGAAACUUUUGAUAAGACAUACGGGAGAACUAGAAAAUUGAUAUAUUAGAUAGGGAGCACAAAAGGAUAUCAGAAAGUCAUGACAAACCAAAACACCCCCAUUAGUCCCAAGGCAUUAACCCAUCUCACUGACAGCCCUAAGAACUCAACACCACCAAAUACUGGUCUUCUGAUAUUGGAUAGGAACAAGUAAUUCUAAGUUCUCUGGUAUUUUAAUUACUGUAUCAAUUUCUGAAUUUUGUUUGUGCUCGUGUUCAGGACUUUGGAAAAAGCUCCUCCUUUUUUACUGCUCAGUUGAACGCUACCUGCAAACAGUAUCAGUAGCAAAGUUCACUGGGAAAGGCUGCAACCAUAUUCAUCCCUUUUCCUUUCCUUUCUUCUGAAAAGUGACACUGCAAUGACAGGCCUCCUACAUGUCACAGAAGCAAUGACUUUGGUACCCUGCUAGGCAUCAACAGUUCUGAAGUUGUUCCCUACUCUAUAGGUUCAGUUAUUUCGUCCUUUAAUCUCAGCCUUACCAAGAUGACAAUCAUAUAUGAUAUAGGCAAAAUGGGAUUACUGAAAACGACUUCCACUGUAACUAAAGCUGCACCAGAACUGAUUGCAUAGCUAAAAAUACUUCGAUUCCAAUUAUAGCUGCUCACCAGAACUGCAUAGUGACAGAGACUUGCCAUGAUGAAAUCCUCAUUCCGAAUCAUUUUUAGGCACUACAAGAUAAUCAUCGUAUUGGCUCACAUCAGACUAUAAACCAAAGCAUAACUACCUCUCCACAAGAUCAAAUGACAGGUCUUUACCAUUAUAUUUACUGGAAACAUCCAAGCCUAAGUCCAAAUGACUUUAAGGCUCCUCUCAAUCAAACAACGGACCAUAACCUUGACCCAUCUCACCCGAAGAAAUGAAUCAUUUCUUUGCCUUACCCCUACACCCUGGACUUGGUGUCACAUGUGGGGCCAAUCAACCAUGGAGUUAUUGCGAUUAUUAAUUCAUGGGCCAUAGUGAACUGGACCUCAGUGUUAAACUGACCCUCAAAUGAAGGAAUUUGUUUGUUACUGUAUUUUUACGUUCAAGUAGAUCAACAAGGACCAGUACGUCUACCUGUACCUCGUAGCCAAACUGAAGCAAACCAAUAUAAGGACAUUUAUGUCAUGAUAAGACAUGGAAAAUUCAGUGUCAUACCUCCUAUCAUGCUAAUGAUUUAUAGCAGUAGCAGUGCGUCUUGUCUUCUUCUCAUCCUGCUCUAUUUAUCCUCCAGCCCCUCUGCACUCAGCUGUCAGCUCGACUUCAGAAAGAUAACACACCACACUGCUUUAAUGGGGCGAUCACCAUGCUGUGAGAAGAUUGGCCUGAAGAAAGGUCCAUGGACGCCAGAGGAGGAUCAGAAGCUGCUUGCCUACAUUGAGGAGCACGGGCAUGGGAGCUGGCGAGCACUGCCUGCGAAGGCAGGUGAGUGUGGACAAACCCGAAUUCCACCAUCUUCCAAAUGAACAAAGUUAGUGAGAAUUCCACCAACAUCCUCCAGGCUUGCAGAGGUGCGGGAAGAGCUGCAGAUUGAGGUGGACAAACUACCUGAGGCCAGACAUCAAGAGGGGCAAGUUCAGUUUGCAGGAAGAGCAGACCAUCAUCCAGCUUCAUGCUCUUCUUGGUAACAGGUGAGUACCAAUGAAAUUAGUCAGCUCCAGAUUGUUACAGUAGGUGAUAUCCUCUACAGUGUUCAGAGUAUUAGUGACCUUUUUGCUGCAACACCAUAAGUAUCUUCUCUGACUUCUUUCUGCCAAGAGGAAGUGCACUGUCUGUUCUUGUCAGACUGCUGUCUGCCAUUUAGAGACAAUUAACGAAGCAUAUACAUCAACCCCGAUUGUCGAUGUAUUUAUAUUGAAUUAGAAAGUGAUGAUCAAUGAAUUAAAGGCACAAUCUAGAUUUUGGCAUUUAAAACGAGAAAAUUUGGAAUUCUGAGUGCUAUCAUUUUAGCUUAAUCAAAAUCUUCCUUUCUAGUGCAUUUUCUGUGUGCAGCAUCUGAGUGCACCAACUUAUUCUGCUGCAUGUACCAAGUUAUGUCAUGGCAUCUGUACUUUUUAUGUCACCUCAUCUCUCCUUCCAUCAGUUUCUACGUAUUCAUAAACCUCUUAGUUUAUGUACUCUAGUAUAGUAAAUACUGUAGGCAUAUGCGAUAGAUGAAAACAAAAUAUCAAUUUUAAAUCACAAGUUUGUUUUGUUUUCUGGAACUGUUCAGAUGGUCGGCCAUUGCAACACAUCUACCAAAGCGCACAGACAAUGAGAUCAAGAACUACUGGAACACACACCUCAAGAAGAGGCUGGCUAAGAUGGGGAUCGACCCUGUCACCCACAAAUCCAUCAGUGGCACUCUCACCAGCACCGCGGACGACAAAUCAGCUAAGGCAGCGGCAAGCCUCAGCCACAUGGCUCAGUGGGAGAGCGCCCGCCUCGAGGCUGAGGCACGGCUGGCUCGAGAAUCGAAGAUGCGAACAGCAGCACCGACACCAACCUCACUCCAUGCGCAGCAAACGAAUGUCCCUGCCUCCACUGCUUCUCCAUGCCUUGACGUGUUGCAUGCAUGGCAGGUUGCAAAGAUAGACCUGGAUUCACCUACCUCCACACUGACGUUUACAGGGAGCAAUAGUGGCAUGCUGCCAACCCCCAGGAUCAACAGACUAGAGGUAUCAGAAAGCAACUCUGCAAUGUGGCAGAGGAGUGAUGAGCUCGAGGGUGAAGAAAGCGAUUGGCAGUUCUUCAGCAAGCACCAGCAAGUGCUGGGACUGGAAGGCAAGGAGAAGGAAGAGGACUUCAUUGGCUGUGAGGAGGAGUGGUUCACAGGAAUGGCUGGGGUUGGAGCUGGCUUCACAGGCAUGCUGCUUGAUGGAUCCAAUGAGCAUGACGCAUCAGAAUGCUGGGGUGAGUCCAGCAAUGGCCAAACUGAGCACAGCAACCAAGCAUCAGAUGAGGAGGACAAGAAUUAUUGGAAUGGCGUCCUCAGGAUGGUGAACUCAGAGCUGCCACCCCAGUCACCCCCAUUGGUCUAGAAUAUAGUCACCUCCAGUUUUUUUUUCAAGGGCUUCUGAAGAAAAUCUAGUGGAUCAUGACAAGUCAAAAGCGAAGCAGAAAGAGCGCUACAAAUAAAUGCUACAACUGCUGCAACAGUAUGAAUUUUUUUUCUCCAUGCAUGUGAAAGUGAAAUAAUUAGCUAUUGUGUGGAUGCAGUAAAUAAAUUAUAUCACUUUAUGUCAGUUCAUCUUUUGUUGGCCUAGUGCUAGAAAUAACUGUAUGAUAGUCACCAGGACCCCAGCAGGGACACUACAUUAAUGACCCACGGACUUUACAGUUGUUAGUUCAACGCCCAAGUUGUCCCCCCCCCCCCCCCCCCCUCUGUGGAAUCCAAACUAGAAUGAUUAAGCCAGCACUAUUGUUACCAUAAAGUUACAAUAUCACAUUAGUUCAAAAGUGGAGUUACAAGCUAUUUCAGUAAAUAAGUCCAGUUUGGUAUGUAUGUUCCUUCAUUCCAAUAAAGAAAUCAAAGUGACCUCAAUAGCAGAUAUGAAAGUUAUCCUUUUCUUAGAAUGCCAACAGGAUGUAGAUAGUGUCCAUUAGACUGUCAAGCAAAUUUUAAAAGAAUAUAUCUUUAGUUACUGCAAACCAUUGCCAGAAAGAUGAACAAUUACCAAAAGAAUGUCAGGAAUCAUUCAAGAGAACUGGUAUUUUUAACCAGAAAACUAGCGCCCAGAAUAACAAGAACAAUAAGUCCCUCAGCUAAAGUACAGGGGCAAGAAAAGAGAGAUAUUUAAACUGUUUCAUGGGAGAUUGAAAAUAAACAUUGUGAUAUAUUGCCACUGUUGAUUUGUUAUGGGGUUAUGUAAAACUGGAAACAUGUAGACACACCGACUGAACACGAAGGCAAAAGACAAAACACUGACCUCGCAACGAAGGAAGAAAGGACAACCAUGACCCCGUUGAAAUAACUAUGCAACAUUGCAUUAUUGAGACCACAGUACAGGUCCUUCCCUCUGCACCUGGCCUCUCAAAACAGAUCAACCUCUUGAGCCAGAGGAAGACUGUACCACUUUGUUCAACAGCUUCGUUGGAUCCCUGAAAACAAAACUUUGGUAGUCAUCGUAAUUCCGCAAAAUUGCCCUUUUGUCUCAAGAACCUCUGCAUUUAGAAUCAUUGUCUAUAUUGCAGAUUUCAAUCAAUACUUUUGAUUGUGAUAGUCUUUUGUUUCAAAUAAGUUACCAUCUGUACUUCUAUUUUUACGAACUGACCAUCUGUAGUUUGAAGCAAGUGAGAAAUAUUAAUGUGAACACAAUGAAAUUACACGAGACGGGAAAUUCAGUACAGUGCAGGUCUUCUAUGAUCAAUCAGACACUCUGCAUGUCUAUUGCUUUGUGCAUGUGAGCAAUUUUAUGGAGGCAUGCAGAUUAACUAGCAAUGGUAUAAAAAGUAUUAAGUGGUAAUUUUGCAUGAAUUUGGAAGUACAUGUCCUACAGUGUUGAAAACAGCAGGGCAGCACUAUACCAACUUAUAAGUAUGUUAAGAAAAUUCAAAGCACAAAAGUAGGUACCUACAAUCGAACAGUGCAUAGAAUGUAAUUCACUUUUUUAAAAGCAAAUACACCCGGCUUACAUCUAAAUUCUCUGCUAAUCAUCCACGGGAAAUAGAAGACAUAGUCAAAUAAACUAAAUAGCCAAAAGAGACUCUUAAGAGAAAGGUAAAUAAGGUGAAAAGUGACAACAGACACCUAGCUCAUGGUGAAUACCACUAUGCACACAACCAAAUUAGAUGUUAGUGUUUCUACCAACAUAGGAGUAUGAUUAGUGCACAAGGAGGGAAAAAAUUACAUUAGAAACUAGAAGUUGGUGCACUAAUGUUAGUUGCCACAAAAACCGUACCUUAUAUACGAAAAACUGUGGGUACAGACUAAGACACUUUCAGUGGAACUAACUUCUACCCAUAGUAGUAGUCGCCAGAAAUCCGUGAGUGCUUCAACCACACUGCUUGCAUAUGCUACAAGUUCACAUGAUGUAAAAUUCCUUUUAUUUUUCAGGCUUUCAAGGUGCAAAGUCACCAUUAAUGUGAAAAAACAUCAGCUACGAGCUAUUGCAUUUGGUGCAAAAGAGCCAGCAAAAACUAAGGGUACAACCUGUUCAUACAAGUCAAUGCUUUUAUGGAAACCAUUCGUGCACAACCCGAGGUGGGAGUUUCUAAUCUAACAAAAUUUUGUCUCAAGUGAAUUGAACACCCUCCAGAAGGGCCAGAACAGCUCCACAUGUACAUCCCUCGACCUCACCUUACAUGAGAACAGCAUCACACUUCUCGAAUUUCUGAAGAGCCUGACCCUCUGAAUACGCCAUCCCGAUCGAAGCCUUGCCAUCCCUUCCAACACCCAUGUAAUACAGCCUCCAGUCAUAGGCCCCCUCCAUUUGCACCAAGUACGGUGAACCAACCCCAGCGCCAUCCCACCCUUCGUCCUCCUCAGACGGGCACAGCACUGGCAUCUCGCUGGAGCGCCUCCAGCCUUUCAAGCCAUCCUCCGACACGGCCAUUCCAAUGCUCACCCUCCCAUCCGCAUCAACACCCUCAUACACCAUGACAUACCGCCCAGCGGCACGGUCACGGACAACAUGCCCGUGCCGCACCCCGCAUUCAUCAAACGAUCCAGCACGGCCCCCCUCGAGCACCUUCCCCAUCUUGGUCCACCGGAUGCCGUCCCUGGACCUCGCCAGACCGAUCGCGUGCCGCUGCGACAUUUCGUCGAACGAGUGGUAGUACAUCCGCAGGUCCCCGUCCGCGUGCAUCACCACCUUGGGCGCGGCAAUGCAGCGCGCCUCCCACCCGCGGGGCUCCUCCCCGUCCUCCCCGACGCCGAGCAGCGCGCCGGUGUGGUGGGCCCCCUCGAUGCGCGCCCAGUUGCGGCCGUCCUGGCUGAUGGCGAGCCCCGGCAGCGCGGGGACGUCCGCGGCGGGGAACGCGGAGCCGAACCGCCCGUCGGUGGAGCCCGCGUAGUAAAGCCAGUACACCGCGGAGGACGGGAAGCGGCGCGAGGACGCGGCGGGGCCGGAGAUGAGGAGGACGUCGGAGGGGCGGACGGCGGCGGUGUCGAACGCCCACCAGUCCUCGGAGGGCAGCAGCGGGUCGGGGGAGACGGGGGCGCUCCAGCGGAGCCCGUCCGGGGAGGUGGCGAGCGCCACGCGCGCGCCGGACUGGUGCCAGAGGAGCCACCCGCCGCCGUCGGAGGCGCGCUUGACGACGGGGGAGCCCGCGCCGCGGAGGAGGAGGCCGCGGGCCGCGGCGGGGGAGGAGGAGUGCUGGGUCGGGGCGUGGCAGCGGAGAGGGGCGGGGACGAGCAGGCGGCCCGGCGGCGAGGGGAGGAGAGCGGCGGGGAGCAUGGCGAUUGGCGGGCAGGGUGGAGCCGCGGCGAGCGUGUGCCGUGCCGCGGUGCCGGAUUAGGAUUUUGGGCGGGACGCUCCGCCGCUUGGGAAGUUGGAACCUUGCGCAUCGUUUCGGUUGGGUCUAGUCGCCUUCGACCUCUGCUAGCGUACUCCGCAAAAUACGCCAUCGGAGCAUCUCCUUCUAACCGGGUCAUGGAAAUGGAAUCACCUGCGACGUGGCUCGACGGAGGGGGUUCCGUCCUGGGCAGCACCAAGGAUCAGGACUUGGUCGUCAGAUCAUGGACGUCGCAGGCGGGAGUGCUCCGUCACCCAGCGACGGCCGCGCGGUUGUGAAGCCACUGCGGGUGGAAAUCGGACGCUGGAGGGCGUCGGGGUCCCCAUGCUACACUGGCCAUUGUACGCCGGGUAGCUGAUGCAGAAGGCGUUCGUGAUGGGGAACAUGGACGUCGGUGUGGAGAUGGAGGGGUACCCAACUCGGCUCGCUGGAAAUUUUAACGAGCCAAGCAGCUAUUUUUGCUCGUUUGAUUAACGAGCGAGCUCGAGACAGCUCACGAGCUGCUCAUAGAGGGACCAAGGGAGCUGAGCCGAAACAGACCAAUCUACUUGACUAUUAAAGUACCGUCUGUAAAGUUCUAAGCUAAAGCUUAAGUUAUUACCAUCGGAUACUAUUUUUAUUAUUGUGUUAUUCAAGUCUGAUAAUUGAAACUAAUAUAACUACAAAAUUGUCGAUUGGUUGCGGUUUGUGCAUGCUCAAUGCAUGGUGGAUUUUGAGAGUUUGAUAUUUUAUAAUUGCCAUAUCCUUAGUAUUUCAUAUACACUUAUGUGGUAAUCCUAAAUUUACAUCUGGCUCGCAAGCCUAAUGAGUUAAUUCAAGCUAUUAACAAGCCGAGCCGAGUCGCAAGCUGCUAUUUUUGCUCGUUUUGUUAACGAGUCAAGCUGGCUCCUUAGGCUAACGAGCCAGACCGAGCUAGGUCUGGUCCAGCCCUACAGUGGUAGCGAAGGUGAGGCAAGUGAGGCAAGUGAUGGAUGCCGAGCAAGGCAAGAAGCAACUGUGAUUGUACCGGUGGUGGGGGACGGACGGAUGUCAUGGUACCGGUCGCAACUGUGAUUGUGAGCCAAAGCAUAGCAGAAGAGGAGAUAAGGGUGGGCCAAGUAUGUGGUCCAAGAAAAGUAAGCGCACCACAUGCAAAUAAGAAAAAUACAUAUUUUUCAAACCACGUAUUCACAUCAAAUCCGAUUGUACGAUUGCACUUUAUACAUAAUAUCUCUAAAAUAAUAUAAGCUUAAAUAUAUUUUAGUGAUUUGUUUUCAUGGAGCAAUUUGACUGUGAAGGUAAAAUUAUUUGUGAAAUGUUCAACCAUGAAAAAAUAUUCUAAAGUAAUUUAUCAAAAUAUUACCAAAUGUGCUCUAGUUUUGAACAUCUCAUUUGUAAUCGGAAUUGAAUUUGGAUGCACGAGAACUAUAGCUCUUUCAUCUUAGGUGGUGUUUGGAUAGCAGCUUGGAUUGGAAAAAGGAAAUGACUUGGGUUAUGUCCAGGCAGGAAAGGGACGGGGUUACAAGAGUUUUAUCCCUAUCCUAUGUUUGGUUUUUUGGUUUGGGUUUUGUCGGUGUUUUACCGGCUGCCCACCGAGGGAUAUACCUAAGGUAAUAAGUUUUGGGUGAGGAGACGCCGAGAUCAGGAACUCGAAGGUGCAAGGAACAUAAAGCUUUAGACAGGUUCGUGCCGCAAGAUGCGUAAUACCCUACGUCCUGUAUGAUUUGUAUUGCCUUUGUGUAGAAUGACCUAGAGAUCGUCCCCUUUGAGAGGGGUCCCUGACCUCCCUUAUAUAUCCGAGAGGCCAGGGUUACAAAGAUACCAACCAAUACCAGCUAAGGAAUCGUACCAGAACAUAUCCCAAGUAGAUUCCUCCCGUAUCGGUUAGCCUUAUCUCCUAUUUAAACGGAAUAAAUAAGAGAUAAACAAGAUGAAUAAGAGAUAAGACCGACUUAAUCUCUUAGACCUCUUUAAACUACGUUAUGUGCCCAGUCCGGUGGCCCCGGGUCUGACAAGCCCCCGAGCUCUUCGUAGCUGAGUACUGCAGACUUAUCGAGUACUUUCGAAGCAGUCUUCGACUUCUUUUGAAGCUUCGUCUCGAAGUCCUUCUUCGAGUACUUGCUUAGCCGCAUCGAAGCUAUGAGGUGCUCGUACCCCGAAUUUUUGUUGUGGUGUGCAAUUUAAAAAACGCACUCCAUAUGGAGUAGCCUCCGAGCCUUAGGUUGAAUCGGAGAAUCAGGCUGAGGGUCCCAUUAGUCUGUAAUCCUCCUUAUCCUUCAAAGAAAUUUAAAAAAUAAGUAGUCGAUGCCACGUAUCCCGCAGCCCCCGAGUCUUGAAUCCAAAUCCCACAAAAUUGGAGAUAAGGGUCCAAAAACCGUGGCAUUGGUGUUACUCUGGAAUUCUAAGAAAAACUCUUCGCCUCUGCAUAGUGAAAUUAAGCCUCCCGCUGGUUUAUUUAACCGCGCGGUGGCUUAGAGUUUCUUCUACACUCUCAGUCUUCAUAUGAGUCGUCUUCGAGUAGUUUUGCGGCGUCCAGCCCCCGAGCUUACAAGCCAGGAGAGUCGAAUGAGUCAUGUCGAGUAGUGCGCAUCGCCCAGCCCCCGAGCCUGGGAACUAGCGAAACUGCGAUGGCACGCCGCGCUGCUUGGAGGGUUGUUGCUGAAGCUUGACCUGAAAAAAGACAAUGCACACAUUAUGUAGCAUAAUGCGAGGAUACCGAGUAGUACUCAGUAAUAAUAUAAAUACACCAAAAUUUAUUCGGUGUAAAAAUUUCACGUCUUGCUCUUGCUAGGCCAUGUAAUUUCCCCGGGCAGUUAGCCUGUUAUGUUUAAGCACCUGAUCCCUGAUGGCCGUAGACCAUAGCGUAGGGAGCUUAGCCGCAUGCACGCGUAGGAGCAUAGGCUUACAGAUGAGUCGAGGUUUCACGGAUUAAGGCGUGUGCUACCCGAGUACUUUAGCAACCGUUAAGAGAAGACAAAGAAGUCGCCAUGCGACAAAGAGGAUGCGCAGUGCGCAAAGAUAGUCGGCGAAGUGUAGCUCUGGAGGGUUUCAUGCCCAUCGAGAGUCGUACACGGACAAGUAAUCGAUCAUGGUGUAGCCCCCGAGGGUUUCAUGCCCGUCGAGAGGCGUACCUAAAAAGGUAACCGAUCUUGUGAAGAACAAGUCGGAAAAGGUAUAAAUCACUUAGCUUGAUUCGUGGACGAAUGUCGACGAAGCCGUGGAGCUCGUUGAUGAAGCUGCGACGAUUUGUUGAUGAAGCUCGACUAGUCGGAACCGAUUCCGACUAGUUUUCAAGUCGAGACGAGUAGUUGAUGUAGUCGUCGGCGAGCUGCCGAUCGUCCUCGCGAAGUCGAAGUAGUCGAACACGUUGCUGCCGCGCGCGGAUAUUGCGGCACAAGCCGAAGUUGAGCCGGGUCGUCGAGGUCGACAGCCGCGGUGCAUCGACGUUGCAGUGCAAGGUGAAGUCGAGCCGAGUAAUCGAGAUCGAUGUAGCCGUUCGCUGAAGGAUCCGAUCUCGAACUCGAUGAAUCGAUCCGUCGAUGCACAUGCGUGAAGGUAGCAAUCUACCACCUGGUGAACUAGAAAGAUGCCAUCGAGUUCGCCGGUGGAUCUUCGGCGCGCUCCCCUACCUGGCACGCCAGCUGUCGGUGUUUAACCGGCUGCCCACCGAGGGAUAUGCCCAAGGUGGUAAGUUUUGGGUGAGGGGACGCCGAGAUCAGGAACUCGAAGGUGCAAGGAACACAAAGCUUAGAGAGGUUCGAGCCGCAAAGCUUAGAGAGGUUUUGAGUUUUGUGGGACUCACAAAAUCUAUACUAUAAAAGUUGAAACAAUUGAAACCCUUCUCACCAAGAUUAGGCCAUCGGUACUCCUCACGGAUGUCCCACUUGACAUGCCAGAAGGUUUGACAAAAGAGGUGUAGACCCACGUUUUUGAUAGAAGGAAAAUGUUUCUAUCAAAAUCCUAAUACUUUUUACACCAAGCACUUUCAUCUAACCACCCCUGGUACCCGCUUAUUAGUUUGCAUUGUUUGUAUACAAUGUGCUUCCAUGAUUUUUGGUACCGCAUAUUACUUUACAUUGUUUGUAGACAAACAAUUUGCUUCCGUGAUUUUUGGUCAACAUUACUUUCCUUCUGCCAUGCGAUGAUUAACUUUCCAAGAUAUUGGUCAACAUUACUUUCCUUGUGGCAUGCGUUGGUUAAUAUGCAUAUGCAUUGAUUAACCUUCCAAUAUUUUGUCCAUGUUCUUUCCUUCUGUGCGAUUUGCCCUGGCCUCCUCACCGUCAUUUUUGCGCCGCCGGCUUCCUUCGUGACGCCAUCGGCCGCCCUGCUCCCUUGUGAAGCCUGGUUGGGAACGGUGCUAGGUCUGCCCGGCUCCCUUCCCUCUCGACGACGUUGUUCCAGUUUGGCGCGGCCGGCCGGACGCGAUCGGCCAGGUUGCCCAUCCCCUCGGCAGUUCUGUUUGAGUCCUCCCCCUCGGCGGUCAGGGCAGACACGUCGCCGGACGUGGCGAGUGCAGCAACGGUAGGACUGAAGGCGUCGACGUACUCAAGGUGAUGUUCUUUCUGCCUUCCCUCUUUUUGAUGCUCAAAUCAUGUUCCAGUCUCAACGGCGGCCUCGAAUCCGUUCCCCUGCGUCGGCUGAUUCAUUGGUUCACCGUGCAUCAAUCCCAUCCCCAUCAAUUCCCUUGUCAUUAGAUUUAUUGGUUCACAGCGCAUCAAUUCAUAGGUUUCACCUCUGGAUUAGCAACCAAUCCCCUUUAAAUUAGAUUAUUCCUCCACUGCACAUCUAUUUUUAGUUCUUUCCCUUUGGUUAAUAUCCCCGAGAGGAAUUGGUAGUUGCUGUAUACAUCCAUAUCAUAUAAAUUUAGCCAUGGCACUAGGUUAUAUGGCUUUGUUUGAUUCCAUCGAUUGUGUGUACUCGCUUCAUCGUCACUUAAAUUUCUCGGUAAAACUGUAUGAUAGAGAAUUAUUAUUAAAUUAGUAUUAUAUGUAUUGAUACGAUGUACGAUGUUACAUUUUAGGGUCCCGUGCAAUAGAUGGUUGUCCUUCACUUGGAGACAUUACAAACACUUGCAACCGUCAUAAGCGAGCAAACCGUGAAGGAUCAAAUAAUCAGAAGAACAAUCAUGGUACUAUUUUGACUACAAUUAUUUUUAUAAACUGGUUUGAUUGGUUUUGUUGUAUACAUAACCAUCAUCCGUGGUUAUAGAUGGUACUGAUGAACGAGAUCUUGAUCGGAGGGAACUAAAACAAUAGAAGGCAAAGGACAAGUAUGCAAGUUUACCAGCUAAAAAAGAAGCAGAGCUUAAUGAUAAGAGGAGGGAAGCCUACCAUCGGAAAAUGCUAAGAAAGCAGUUUCUAACACCAGUAUUGUACCUCUAGGUAUAUUAUCCCUUCAUUAAAAACAUAAAUAUAUCAGGUUACGAAGCUGCUUAAUCAAAUGCCUUUAAUGCAGGUAUGAUGUCCUUGCUCAUCCAAACAAAUACAGAAAUGACAUCAUGGGACAGCAUGAGAUUGUGAGUAACGGAGCAAAACAUACGAUUUUGGUGAUAGUUGGCUGCGUCGCAACAAUUCUUUUGAAAGGACAGAAAUGGAGAAUAUCAAUACUCCAUUCCCAUUAUCUGGUACAUUUUGAACGUAAACGGUAUUUGUAGUGUGUGUUGUUUAUUUACUAAUAUUUUUACUGUCUUUCUUUCAGGAUUGUCUCACAUAGAGUGUGAGAUGGAAAAAGCAUGGGAAAGGUUGAGCAAAUGGUACCAUAUGAUGUCGGAAGAGCAAAAGGCUAAGAGGAAUGCCAAAAAAUGAGCAAGUAGAAGUAGACAAAAAUAUGGUACUGGUGCAAGCAUUGCUUCCAGCGAAGGUUUUCACUUUUUCUUUGUACCAUCAUUAUUACCAUGAAAAUAUGUUAUAUGUCUUAGAUGCUUUAUAUUUGCAUAUUUGUUUGUGUGCGUAGAUACAACGGAUGUUAUGUGUGUCAUGCCAUUUGGCACCACUGCAUCUGGAAUUGAUGAUGAGAUUACUCGGGAAGAGUUAAAAAAAGAAAGGGGGAAAAGAAGAUAUAUUGAAAUGGCGGAUACGGCGAGACAUGAAGAUAUUGAAAGCUAUUGAAUGUCGCAUGCAGAAAAACAUAGCCAACGUCUAUGUGCAAUAAAACUUUCAUAUUUUUUAUGUAUAGAAUAGAAUAUCACACUUGGCGUACGAUUUUCAGGUAGAGAGUUAAAUACAUCUGAUACUGAAAUCUUGCAGUCUGCAUUAACGCAACAACAGUCUGGUCCACUAACUAGGUCGUGCACUAUAAAUGUGGAUCGUGAAGAUAAGUUUGACUUUGGUUUAUGGGAACCAAGUGAUCAUAUGCAUGGAGUUGAAGGUAUAUUUAUUAUUUUUAUAUGGCCUAUGUAUUCUUAUUUGAUAAUUAAUUAAUAGAUUUGUUUUUUUAUUUAAUAGAGAAUGUUUUAGACCAAACGAACCCGGAGGAUUAUGACCCGGAGAAUAUACAAGAUGAUGAAGCACGUGUCUUCCAUGUUAGAGGUUAGUUUUGAAUUUUUUUGUUUGAGUAAUGACAUGACUACCACUAAUACCUUCUCUAUGAUUUAUAAUUUUUUAAUUGUAUAUAUACACGCAGAUUUCCAUUACGAGUAUGUUGUGGAUCCCGAUAUUACCUAAAAAUAUUCAGAUCAAUAUGAUGCAGUGUACAAGGAUCUUCCAAAGAAACACCAUACCAUGAAGAAAGCUAAAAAUUAUGAAUUUUGCAAUGCAAAGAAGUUCCCAUGUGAAGAGCCCGCCUUCUGUUGCAGAAAAGAAAAGAUUAACAUAUAUAUUCCAGAGUUACCGGCUGGAUUAUGCCGAUUGUUCGCAAGUCAGACUGACAGGGAUGCAAAGUAUUUUCGAAAGCACAUUCGGUACUUUAACUCACACUUCUCCUUCACAAGCUUUGGAGUUUCUAUUGAUCAUCAUCUUGCGUUUGCAUGAGGUACUGGUGUGUAUUGUUUUAAAGCACAUGGUUAGAUAUAUCAUAGGUUGGAUCAGCUUGUGCGUGUUGGGAUAGGGCCUCGCCAUAUGCUGCUAUACUUUUAUGACACCGAUGAGAUAAUUGCACAUAGGGUAAAAAGGUCUCCUAAACUUGAUACUACACUGAUCCGGUUGAUUUUGGGAAUUGUACAGGACAAUCCAUAUGUGCUUUUAUUCAGGAAUCUCGGAUCUGUUUCUAAUAUUGCAGGGUACAACAUUAAACUUAAUAUCAGCAUAUUUGUUGAUCAGAGAAGAUAUAACGCACCUGGCAUGGAUCAGAUAGCUGCUAUAUGGGUGGACGGUAUUGACCCUCGGAGGUUUUCUCAUAGCAUAAUAAUUUAAGACAGUGAGGAUAGACCUCACUGUGUAGGACUUACCAUGGUUGUUACGACCUAUUAGUCUACCCUUUGUUUUUCCUCGGUGGUGAGACUGGAUGGGAGGAUAAAAAGAUUGAGUAUCAGUUUCCACCUCCUUCUAAGCCAAAAAGAAAGUAUACGAAGCGUAAGAAGAAGGUUUGUAACGAGUUGUAUAUUAUUUUACAAUAAUUAUAUGCUGAUGUUUGGACACUAUACUGAUUCGUAUAAUAUCGCAUUUACAGGUGAUCUUGAUGAUGAUGAUGAUGAAUUAGAUGCAGUUCAGGUGCAUCCUCUUAAGAAGGCAAAAGUGCGGCAUCCGAUUUAUUAUGAUUUUAAUGGGGAAGACCAUGAAAUGGAUGAGCAAAGUGAGAACGAGGAUGAUCCUGAUGAUGAGCUUGACGAUAUCCAUUUAUUUUAAUUAUAUAUUCUAUAUAUUAUUAUAUGGUAGUAUUAAAUAGUAUUAUACGGUUUAAAGAUACAACUUUAUCUCUUAAUUACAGCUGAUCCCAGCGUUACGUUAGCACUAGAGAGUACUACUGCUUCAAGCUACAGAUUCGGGAAGGUCAAUUCAAUAUCUUCUUUCAUGCCAGUCGGCUCUUUCAACAAUUUGCAGUUGAUAUGUAUGUCAAGGUUGAGUCAAUGCGUCUAGAUUGGUACGCAAAGCCUGCACAUAAGGCUAUAAUUCGUGCAGAUCUAUAUCAAGUGAGCUUGAUUUAACUAAGAAUCAUUAAGUUUGUGUUUCAUUGUAAUCCCAGCAAUUAGCAUCUAAGAAUGUUCAAUUUUGCUGUGUUCAGGGUCUUCUGGACACGCUCACCGUGGGAGAGGUUGAUGCUUCCAAGGCUGGCCUUAGGGUUGUUUUGAGUAAGGAUUUUCCCGGCAGUGAUCGUGAUGUGUAGGCUAGGUUCAUGGAUGCCAUGACACCGGUUACACGGUAUGGGAAGCUAGAUUUCUUGGUAACAGUAAUAUGCAAUCCAUUCUGGGAUGAGAUAGUUGUAGAACUGCUGCUAAAACAGACUUCCCAAGAUCGUCCUGAUGUUGUUGGAAGGGUGUAUCAUGCAAAGUUACUAGAUCUGCAUGAUUUUUUGAUUAAAAAGGGUUAUCUUGGCAAGGUUGCUGCACAGGCGCAUGUGACAGAGUUUCAGAAAUAGGCUUGCCACACGAGCACUUUUUGCUGGUUAUGGAAUCUGGGAGUAAGUUAAAGACUCCUGACGAUUAUGAUAAAUAUAUUUCAGCAGAACUUCGAGACAAAAGAAGUAUCCUAAGUUGCAUAAGCUUGUUAUGAUAAAUAACCUUUUCACUCCCCCUUUGUCAUCAAGCGCCAAAAAGGGAAUGAAAAAUAGCGAUAAAGUCUUCUGCUCAUCAUCAUCAUCUUGGACGUCAUCAUCGGAGGUAUCCUCGUCCUCAUCGGAGUCGGGGUGCUCACGGUAGUCACGUGGCUCUUCUUCUUCGGUCUCCUUAUCUUCAUCAAAGAUUUCUUGACCACCUGGAGGAGAGCGACGUGAGCAAGUAGGAGGACAAGUACGACGACGUGGGCGAGAAAGUAGAGCAUGAAUAGCAGUUAUAGCAGCCUCAUCCGCGGCAUCCCACUCGGGAAAAGGAUCAUCAAGCUGAGGUAGAUCAUGAUAUGUAUCCGCAGGGAGUUCCAAAUGACUUCUGAUCUCAAUGAUUUCACGACAGUUUUCAUUGACCUCCUGAGUCACAGUCUUGCACAUGCAGAAAAUGCUUUUGAGCACCCUUUUGAUGAAGGAAUCAUGAUGUCCAUGGCGAGAGGAGGAGGCUCCCGAGAAAGAUGGAGUUGGAUGAAAUCUAGGAUUUCUUGUAGCACCGGCAUGGAAAGGAGGCGCACGUGGUGCAUCACCAGACCGAGGACGAAUGUGAAGGGGCUCAUGCUUACGAUCCUUGGGAAAAGUGAUCUUUGUAACCCUUUCAAUCAUAUACAUGAUGUAUGGAGCAGGCGGCAAAAACUUCUUUGGAUCAUUCAUUGUCCGUCUCAGCUCAUUCCAAAUAAAAUUCAUGAUGCAAAAGGGUCUUCCACCGGGCAUGGUAUGAGAAAGGAGAUUGCAAGCAAAGUAGCGGAGUACCGUGGUAUCUCCAUCCUUAGCAUCAGUAGUGGCACGGAAAAAGGAAUUCAUGGUGUAGUAGUAAGGUUGGAGAGUGAUUGCAUUACCGGCUUCAGCUAAGACAGGAUUGUAGAAUAGAGCGGGCAACUGACUAGGCUUCAACUGAUUCUCAACAUGAAUGAGGUCACGCUUCUCAUCAUUAGAGCCAAGUCCAAGAAACCAUAAGAAAGUCAUGUAGUCCACUCCAUACUUCACUCCCUAUGUUAUCGAAAAGAAAGCAACUUUCCUUGCAUCACAGUAGAGAGAGGAGUGAAAUUGAGCAAGGAUCCCCUCAUUCCAAUCUUAACGAAAGCCCAUGAUAUUAUAGAGACCAAAUUCCUUGCACUUUGCAAUUGCUUGAUUGAAGAAGGGAUCAUUCGGUCUCUCAAAAUAUGCCCAAUCCACAUACUUGCAAGGAACAAUGGGGGUCUUUCCCUUGCGCAAGACGACCGGGGAAUAGAAGUCUUGAUGGAGUUGACACAAAAACGCCUCUCCAAUCCUUCAUAUUUUUCAUAAUUGUACACCUUCUCCUUGCGAGCAUUUGAGAGAGCCAUAGCUUGCUUGCAGUAGUUUCUUCUCAGUUGAGUAGCAAAUCCUUGUAUAAUUUGAGGACGAGCAAGCUUGAGGCAAGUGUGAUACUGUCUUGAAAUCCUGAGGUGUGUCUGUGCUUCAGCUUUAUAUAAUCGUGAUGUGUAAUAAUAUGUAUUUACGUACUCACAUAGUCAUGUGUUUUCGUGCUCCUUCUAAUCGCAUAUAUUGUUCCUACAGGUCACGGGCUUGAAGAUUGUGAGUGUUAAUAGCUUAUCAGAAUGUUUUUAGAUACUAGAAUUCGCGAUGAUUGAAUAAAUAUACGGUGUAUACUUUGUGUGCCUUGAUUUUGAUACGCGACAUGUCAAUUAUUGGAUUAGUCCUAUAUAUUAUUUUCUAAAAUUUUAUUAUGUAUGAAUAAGAUUAUAUAUAUAAUGUGCGUUUGUAAUUUCUUUUACUCAGCUGUAUCCUUUUACUCAGCUGUAUCCUGUGAGGUUCCCAACAAAUACUGAAAAAAAAUUUAAACACAUGCCUGUGUCAUCUCCACUAGUAAUGAAAAGACACACUUCUUCUCCGUGCUUCUCCUGUCCUCUCUGCUCAUCGAAGCCACUCUAGCUAGCUAGAAGCAUCGUCAGCACGCAGGUACGUGGCGAGCAAAGCUGCAUCUCCCGGUGGGUGCGUAGCCUGCGACUCCGGAUGCCCGCGCAGCGAGGCAGCCUGCGGCUUCGGUGACCCGUGAGCGAGGCAGCCUGCGGCUCCGUCAGCCCGUACCGGUCUCCCGCACGCAGCGGGAGGCGAGUGAGCUGCGCAUCCUGGUGUCCGAGCGAGGAGGAUGCCUGCAGAUCCAGCUGCGGCUCUGGCGGGCCGAACGGCGGCGCUGAGGGCCUGAGUGCGGGGAGCAGCAGCUCGAUCUGGAGCUAGUCGUGGCCGUCCAAAUCGACGAAGUUGCAGCGCCAACGUCUUGAAGCAGAGGACAUCCUCAAGCACAUCUCAAGGAGCCUUACUCGCCGGCGCGGCGUUGUGCCCGGUGCACGGCGCGGCUCAUUUCCCAGCACAUCCCACCCUUGCCGUUGGGUUACGAACACCGGGAAAAGAGGCUCUCAUUUCCCAUUCUUUUUCCCCGUCCAUUACACAUUUUCCUAAUCCAAACAUGGGAUAAGAUAUCUCCGUACCCUUAUUUCCCUAUCCCACCUCUCGUUUCCCGGUAUCCAAACGCCACCUUAAAAUUUAUGUUGCAUGAAAAUUAACAUUUAUAUUGUACUUUCAGCAAGAUCAGCAAGAUCAGGAUAACCGGGAAUAUUAAGAGUAGCAUGCACGAGUGGGAGGCGACGCGUUGCAGAAGAGCCGUCCGAAUCGAUGUAGGUAGGUCCGCCCUCCUAUUCUUCUUCCUCGUGCGCGGCGGACGGAGCUCGGAGAGGGGUGUUAGGGUUCCGGUGGCCAACAGCCGUAGAAGAGGAGGUGGAGCCGGUAGAGAGGCUCGGCGAUAGCGGUGGGUUGAGUGAGCGGUGCGGUGCGAGGGUACGAUGACGGGAGUGAGACACCACCAGCCGCCAGCGAUUCGGAAGAUAGCCAGUGGGCCGGAACCGGGGUUGGGGUAUAAGAAACCAAUAGAUCAGCCUGAGCGUGAUCGGCAGCGGUGGAUCCGGCGGCAGGGGCGAGCUGCUCGUGGGUCGUGGGCCGCAAGCGAGGGUUUAACGCGCGCUCGCAGCACAUGCAUUGCAACCUCGAGUAAGCUCCUAGGAGAACCACAGAAACAAGGUUGAAAAGGGGCAGGUGUGCCAUCAAUACGUUGAUAGGCUGUUGAAAACAUAAUGAAAAGUGUGACUGUACGAGAGUAGCACACUGCAAUAUUAUGAAUCGUAGUCGCACGUACCACUCGUAGGGCAGGUGGCGCACAAGGGAGAAGCGGAGGCGGCGCUAAUGCUCGAGGCCUCGAGGGAUUCAUCGCCGUGGGCACAUCUAUAGGUAACACGCGCCACUAUUCAGGAUCGCGCGCGCUGGUGGGAGGUGUCCUAUCGCAGAAGUAUUCCCGAGGAUUUUAGUAUUUUAUUGGGUCCAAAAUUAUUCUACUGUCCAGGGUACAUCCACUGUACAACAUCACAGACUACCAGACCACCAGCGUGCUGCAGAUCUGAUAUGUGCAUCGGACUACGUGCAAACAACAAUUUAAAGUUAAACCAUCCGUAUCUUCGAAAUUGGUACCUAAAUCAAAUUCCGAUUUUACCAUUAGAUUUCAUAUAACGAGAGCUUUCGAACAAGACCGCACUUUAUAAUAUUUAAAUGAAACUUUUUAGAACAUUUCUUAGAUAUAGAGCAAUUUUUAUUAUACAACACGUUCACAAUAAAAUUGUUCUAACAUAACAAAAAAUAUUUUAGAUAUAAAAUCAUCCGACCAUAUUUAGACCCUAUUUGGAUUGGAGAAAUUUCAAAGGAAAAACAUAGGAUUCUAAAACGGAGGAAAGGGAGUAGUUGCGAGCGUUUGGAAUGGAGGAACCAUUCGUUCCUUUCCUGUUGAGUCUUGUAGCAGGCUAGCCAUUUCACAGGAAAUAAAACAUCCACUCGAAUCCCUUGUUUUCUUCUCCUUCGCGUACGCCCGAGGCAUCACGCGCACGAAGAAUAGAAGAAAAAUCAUAACUUUGAGCGGCUGAAGAAGAACAUGUUCUGCCAUUGUUGAUUUUCCAAGCUUCUCCCAAGCGCAUGGACCACCAACCCGCGCUCUCUUGCUCUCGCUGCACCUCAGCGCUGCGGUGCACUCAUGCUCUUUCUGCUCUUGCUCCGCUCAAGGUGCGAGAACCGCCCAAUUUAACACUAUUUUAGACGAAUCGCCGGUCGUUAUCAUUAAGAGGAGAGCUAACACGCGCUCGCGCUUCGGCGUGCCACGUGUUAACCCACAUCUAAAUCCCGACGACCAACACGACAUUCACCCAAAAUGAGGCUAAAUCCGGUAGUCCCGGUAUGUGCUCCACCAUAUGCCCAAGAUCAUGCAUAUACACAUACCGUUCACAAUCUAGUAUUUCGCCAUUGUACCACAAAGAGCAAUUUUAAAUAGCAAGUUCAAAUUGAAGUUAAGGUUCAACACAAGUUACAAGCCUUGGGCUCACAAUCCAAAUUAAAAGGGACAUAAUUCAUGAAGUUUAGUGUGACAUGAUAAUUCCCCAAAAGGCGAGUACGCAGCGGAAAAAUAAAGCGCGCAACGAGACGGAGUCUUGCUCAAGGACGCCGUCGACACUACAAUGACCUACUCCUCGCCCGCACCGGGAUCGGCGGGGUAGAAGUGGCCAAAAAUAAUUUCCGGCUCACCUGCAACUUAGUUAAAGAAAUAUAGCAACAUGAGUACAAAGGUACUCGCAAGACUUACGCGAAUAAAUAAACAAGGAGUAUGCAAAUGAGGGCUCACAAGAAAGCUUUAGGGUUAAGUUGUUAGCAUAAGUAUGAACUUUCUAAUCAAAACCUAUUCUAGCAUCCUAGCAUUUUUAUUAUCUUGCCCAACCCACCAUAAAAUUUUAGUUAAACAUUGACCAACCAUAAGAGGUGACAUAAGCAUCAUACACCACCUGCGACCAAGAUCGAUACAACUACGAAGAAUUCGUCGAAACUUGAGCUUGCUCAUAACCGAGAGCGCGGCAAUUCGAAUUGAUUCAUUAACCUUGCAAGGGUGUACAACUUUACCCACACGACACAAGGACCAUGCGACUCGCCCAACCGAUCACGUUGGGUGAGGGGGUACUCGCAUCAACCAUUCCCGACGAGUUAUAACCGUUGAACAUCACGCCUAACUUGCGCGAAGAGAAACCUAGGUCCACCGGGGACACCCCUAAGCCUCUCUACAAAGCCCCACGGCCACGCAUCUAGGACCGUGCAUCAACGAUUAGAACUAGAGGGUAUUCGGCUUAUCCACCCCAUGAAUGGAUAUGUGGUAGUACGAUAAGUGCUCAAUUUCCAAGGUCAUCCACGGACGGUCCUUAAUCGGUUCAAGCGGACUAAGCCUCCGAGACUCCUUUCUCUAGGCCCUACCUUCCGCUCGAACCAAAACCACACUUCCAACUAGACCGAUCCAAACCAACAUUCCGACACCGGACAACAUGUUCAAGAUAACACAAAGUGGGUGUAACGAGUGAUCCUACUCCAAUUUUUCCCUAAAAAAAAUAUCUACCAACUCUAGGCACAACUAAGCAUUUAGUUAAGUGAGUUGCAAGCGACUACGUGUGCCAAGGGCAUGGAUAUACAAAUCAAGAGAGGGCAUUGCAUGAAAAUAGGACCAACGAUGCAAUAGAUAAAUAUUUAACAUAAGCAUAGAUAUCCCAAGUGAAAUAACUAAAUUUAAGCAAGUUAAAUAGGUCAAGGAAUCAUGCUUAGCUGCUUGCCUCGGUUCUCUUCUUGCUCAACCACACACUCGGCUCCCGGCUCGGUCUCAACGAACUCGGUGGGCUCAACGGGUGCGUCCUCCGGCGUUUCGGUCACUACAAUGCAUGAAUGAGAUGUAUGCAUUAGGAUGAUGCCAAUGACAUGAGUAUGAGAUGAUAUGCAAUGACAAGGUAAUAGAAGAAGAAUAUCACAUCAACGCGAAAGCAAAACCACCAUGGCACCACAAGCUCGAUUACAAAUUUUAACACUAGGACCGAGGCGAACUUUGGUUAGCAAGCCAUCUACAAGCAUAAAUCAUGAUUUAAUUUAAGCACACAGGGGAUCUCAAAAUAAGCUCAUGAGAGUUGAGUUUGCAUCAAAAACAUAUUUGUAGAAUUACUUAUGAUAUUCAUAAAUUUCAGCCGCUAAACUCAAGUUAAAUCUUAAAAGCCAUGCAAAACAUUUUCAAAAAUCCUAAUAAAAUUACCAGAGGUACAAGACAUGAUAGCAAGGAUAACAGAAGUGGUUUUAUCAUUUUAUCAAUUUUCUAUCGAAAGUUAUUCAUUUUAUAAGUUUGCAGGCAGCAAAACUAAAAACGCAUUAAAAACCUAUCAAACAGCACAGGAACAAAAACAUAAGCUGGACCAUGAGAUAUAGCAUUCCACAAGGAACACAACAGCAUUUAGUUUGACAUUUUUAGAGCUCCACAAAAUAAGAUUAACAAUUAACUUGGUUUAACAAGAAUAAACUACAACUUAAAAUACAGGACUCUAACAUGCAUAAAAUUAAUUUAUCUAAGCAGAUCUACUACAGAGGAUUCAAACAAAACAAAUUUCAUAAUUUUUAGAGAUCUACAACAAUUUCUACGCAAUUUAUAAGAAUCAGCAUGAAAUGACGGGGUGAAACAUGGGGAAAAGGCUAGAGCCACCCGGAUCUGGCACUCCCGGGCGCCGACAGGUGGGCCCAGGCUGCCAGCCCCGGGCCGGGCGAAGUCAAGGCCGGCCGCGGCCUUGACUCGCCACGAGGGGCGCCAGCACGCGCCCACGACGCGGCCCGCGCGCGCGGUCCGCGCGCGCGCACGACGUCGCGGCGGCGACCGACGGAGCGUGGCCAGGAGGGCGAACGGGGGCGGGGCGACGCGCGCGCGAGCAGCACGGCGCGACGGCGGUGCUCGCCCGCGGCACGGGCGAGCGGGGCAAGGCGGGGAGCGGCGGCGCGACGGAGCACCGCGGCGGCGGAGGAAGGGGCACGUCGGGAAGGGGGUUGCGGGCGGAGAAAGAGGCGGCGGGCGGCCGGAAUCGAACACGGAGGAGGAGAAGGAGGUGCGGGCGCGGGCAAUCGGGGCGGGGCUCACCGACGGCGGCGGGCGGCGGCGAGCGGCGGAAGGGGAAGCGGCAGCGGGAGGAGGAGGAGAAGGCGUGCGGUUUGGCCGGGGGAGAAGAAGAGGCGACGCGAUUUGAAGUGGGGAGGGGAAGAAGGCGAGUGGGCGGCACGGGAGGCGAGGGGGGGCGGCGCCACGCUGGACGGGCCAGCGGCCGCCGGCGUGCCGCGUCGCGCGGGCGCCCAACGGGCGGGCGCAGAGGCGCGGGAGGCGCGGAGGGGGAGGCUGACGCGCGGGCCCGGGCGCGCGGAGGAGAGAGGGAGGAGGCAGACAGGUGGGGCCGGGAGGAGAGAAAAAGAAAAAGGCAAUGGUUCAACUUACAAAAUCAAAAAAACGCAUUUCCCGGGCUCCAAAAAUCACCAAAUUUUUACUGAAGCUAGAUUAAAUCAUAAAGAACACAAUGCAACAACAAGAUCAUAAAAAUCUAAUAUGGAUUGCCCACAAAAAAUCAAACAAAAUUGCAGUUUUCAGAUUUUCCAAGAAUUUUAUGGCUCGGGUUAGGCAUCCAAAAAUUGCACAAAAAUAUUUGUAAUUCACAAUUUGAAAUCCAGUAUUUUAAUAAAUUAUUUGGAGGCACAUUCACAUAACAAAAUUUAAACUUUCUUCCCAACAUACACUCAAGCAAUGCAAGAAAAAUUAACUAGCUCAAUUCGAAAAUAUGCACAUGAUGCUUGAUGAUGCUUGGGUUAUGCUCAAGAUGAUGUUGCUUAAUAAUUUUAAUCAUGUUAUUAAGUUUUGGGUCGUGACACAAGGCAAGUUGCUUGGCUUCUCCACUGGGAUUGCAGAGAACGAGAGAGAAUAGAUGAGGAGCAGAGAGAGAAACAGAUGCGAACGAACGGAGGAAGGGGAUGAGAACGAGUGGACCGGAAGGCUCUGAGCUUUUGGGUUAUACUGACGACGGGUCCUACCUUCAUGGGUCCACAUGUCAGUAGCUAAGGAGGUUACAGAUGCACCUAGUGGCAGCGCAAGUCCGUCUUUUUUUUUUCUUCCGCUUGUGGGACCCACCCAAAUCCAACUUCCCGUGUUCCAAAAAGCGGUUCCUACGUUUUUUCUAGGUUUCCUUUCCUCUAUUUUGUCAAAACAUCCUAACCAUAUUCCUGUGUUUUUCCCAUUCCUCUGUUAUGCAUUCCUCCGUUCCAAACAGGCCCUUAAAUAUAGUCUUUUUCUUAAAGAUUUCAUCAUAACAAAUUCAUAUAAUUAAAAUAUAGUUUUAGUUGCUUGAUUUAUGAGUGUGAUCUUUUUAUUUUCAAUAUAUACGUGCAUGUACUUCAGGACGUGGGCUAGGCCCAUCAGACCAUCUGGCGCGCCCAGCAGCUUUUUCUGCUAUGCCUUUGCAUGCAGUCGCGCGCGUGGCUGCUAUCAGCCCCCGGUAACACGCGCGGUUAGCACCGUGGGUUCGUAUCCAGGGAAGAAAAGGUACUGCAUGGCCCAUAUAUGGAGGAAUCAAAAGGUAAACAGAUCAUUGUUAGCACAAUCUACAUUAAAAAAAUGAUAACUCGUAAAGAUCUUCUUUAAAUUUAAAUUCUGAUUAGAUUAUUAUAUUGUCUCAGUAAACAAUUUUAUUGCCAUUCUCAUUAAAGGUUUCAUAUGAGUUUCAAUCUUAUUAAAUGAGGUACCAUCUAAGCAAAAAUGGUGACAUGACAACGAAUUUACGAAGAGAGAGAAGAACAGAUUUCAUCAAAAUUAAACUCGAUAUACACCGUUUUCAAGACUAUAAAACCUGUUGAAACUUGCAUCGGGGUUAGAGAAUUUCAUUUCUUCAAACUUCAUAGAAUCCAGCAUAUUUAAAUGUGAUCACUUGCCUAUGAAACCGUGAAAUGAAAUUGAGCAUUGAAGGAUUUGGUUUCUUUCAUCAACCUAAAUUUUUGUGGAUAAUGUAUCACUCUUAGAAACCAUUAAAUAAAAUCCUCCACUAGGAAUAGCCUAAUAAGCACAUUAAGGCCGGGCCACAUGUAAAUAUGUUUAGAUGUUCUUUAGUUGAAACAAUUUGAUGAUAAAGUAGAAACAGUUUCAAAAAAGCUCCACCCACAUGAAUACAAAAUGUUCUUAAACAAACAAAAAUAUUUUAUAAAAAUAAAAUAUUUCAGGGAAAAAUUGUUCUGAAACAAAUGUUCUAGCAAAAAAAUACAAAUAUUCUAGAAAAAAUAUCAUCUAAAAAGAAUAAAUGUGGUCUAAUUUUGAAAACUUCGCCAUAAAAAACACAGCGACUCAAUUAAAAAAAUUUUGUUAAAUACGGAUUUGUUUUGUUCAAAUUUUUAUUUUACACAGUCGUCUCUGCGUUCGUCUUUGACAAAGCAGGCAGUAGCCAAUGAAAUGAAAUAUAAAAAAAGAAGAAAAAAGUGGCUAAUGGUGUACAUCCUCCUGGGUCGUGUGCAUUAGGCCUGUGUUCGAUGUUUCUGCGACGCGCUGCAUCCUAUUAGCACGCGCGAUGAAUAGAAUUACUGGUCGUAGCCAUCGUUUGUUCAGUUCUUGUUGGAGCAGAGAAUAUUCGCAAGCAGUUGGGAAAAUUAUGAAUUUGCAUGUGCUCAAGUAAUCUAUUAUUUUCCCAAAAAAUCAUAAUUUGGUGUUUGUUUGAUGGCUCAAGUAAUCCAUUAUUUUCUCACUCUUGAUAUUUUGUUCGGUUUGAGAAAUAUCACCAUCUUAUUCUUGAGAAGAACUUAAUUAGUAUAAGCAUGAGAAUGGGGACAUCCUACUAAAAUUUAUGGGAUGAACUCAUGAAGGACCACCUCAUCUAGCAUGUAUGGAGAUUAAUUCUUUUAAAGUAUUGGUUCGUAGCUAGCAUAAUUCUGUAUUAGAUGGACCAUGUUUCUUUCGGUACCAGUACUGAGAGAACACUUACGAGACCUAAACUGAGUGCUAAAUUUGUUAUUGUUGGUGUCUGGAAUAAAAGUAAAUAGCUUGAAAAAACUAGCAGAAAAUCAGUUUUCCAUAAAAAGUUUAGAGUAUAAAUAUGAAUUAAUAACCAAGAUGUCCUUUAAUUGUACCAAUACAUGUAAGCUUUUUGGAAAGUAUUGGCUAAGAGAAGGGAUAUAGUUUAUAAAUACUAAUAUUUUAGCUUAAACAAUAAAAAAUGUUGCCUUGACUCACCAUGGUAAUUUUAUAGGGUAGCAAAUCGAGAAAAUUUUAAUAUUGUAUUACUUUACCAACACUAGGUACACUGCCUUAUAAAUAGUAGUACUACUUAGAGUUGAUCGUUUGACUCUUUGUUGAUGUUGUUACCUUCUAUUUGUUUGAGCGAUGAUUGACUGGUCAAUUGUUUACUCUACUAUUGGAUAAUGGAAGUGUGAACAAUAAAUCAACAAAAAAUAUACGCGAUGUUUUAGUUGGUGAUAUGAUUUCUAGAGGUGAAAACCUUCAUGUGAGGUGUGCUGUUCAUAUACUCAACAUCAUGUUUCAACCAGGCUUAAGGUGAUUCUAAAUAGGCUUGUUUGCUUCGGCUACUUUGCAGCCGUUUGGGUUGUAGCUACACAACAACCAGCUACACAGCCAAGCAGCUGCAAGAGCGUGAGCCAUCCUCCACCAACUGCUGGCGGGCUGCAGGUGCUGCUGGCGCGCUGCGGCUGUUAUAGCAGCUGUUGCAGCCGCAGCAACAGCCAGCUCUAUUAAUCUUUACCGAACAUGUUGAUUAUCAAAGAUGUCAAAUCUACACCAUCUCGUAAGCAUAUCUUCAAUUCUACUGUUUAAACUUUGAACCUCAGUAUUAAAUUUGGACAAGUUCUUGGCAUCACACAUCAUCAAAGUAGAAUAUAUGACAUGAUAUAUAAAGCUUUAAGGUACAAGGUGCUACUCAAUAUGCAGUAGAGCAACAUCAUGAAUUUCCUACUAAAGAAGAAUGGACGAAAGUUGAAUCUCUUUAUAGUUUUUUUUGCAAAAAAUUAAUGAGGCAACUCAAACAUUCUCUUGGGAUAGUCCACAACAUCUCAUCUCUUUUUAAGAUGUUGUUUGACCAUUCACUACGUGUUGCAUCACAAAAUUUGCAUUUGCUUAAAUUUCAUCAUAAAUUUUGGAUGCUCAUACAAAAUGAUCAGAUCUAGAUAUUUACUUGAAGGACCCUAGAAUUAGUGAUAAUAAGAACCUGAUGUUCUAGCAUUAUGAAAGAAGAAUUCAGAUGCCUGUCCAAUCUUGUCUUAGGUUGCUUGGGAUUUUCUAGAUAUUCAUGUGAGUAUUGUGUUCUCUUAAUUAACAUUAAGUGCAAUUGGAUGAAUUUUUGGUAAAAAAAAAUGACAUUGCUCUCUUCUGAAACCCUCAAAGCAUUGAUUUGUGCCGAAGGUUGACUAAUUGGAUUCAAUAAUGAAGAUGCAGAUUAAGGUAAAUCAUCAUCUAAAUGCUAGAUUAUGCUUGUAGCUUGUCCUUGUAAACUGCAAGCAUAGUAGGAUAAUGUAUGAAUUGUCCUCUGUUUUGCAAAGUGAACCAAUGAGUAGAUAAAAGAACGUAAACCAUUAACUUUGCACCAUUUUUCUACGUAUAUAUCAGCACCAAUAGAUAGCCAAGGGUCAAGUUAGGUUCAGCCUUCAGCUAAGUUUAUUUGCAUUAUACUCCAUUUUGACUCUUGAGUGUUUUUCCCUAUCAUGAUUUCUUGUACUGGAGUGCAGUUAUUGGGCAUGAUGUACCUUUCUUUAGAUGAGAACUUUUAUUGUCGAUUUGUGCCCACAACUAGGUUUGCUCAUCUGAUUAGCAAAAAAAGAAAAACCUUUAUGGCUUGUUAUUUUUUAGCUUUCUGUUCAUUUGAUGGCUUCACUAAAUACUCCCUCUAUUCCAAACAAUAGGUCGUUUUGGCUUUUUUAGAUACAUUGCAUUUGCUAUGUACUUAGAUACACACUAAUUCUAGAUACAUAGGAAAGACUAUGUAUCUAGAAAACUAAAACGACCUAUAAUUUGGAACAGAGGGUGCAUUUUGGAAAGCUGGGCAUGAUUUUCCUGAAUUGGGUUGCCUUGGGAUUGGGGAACACAACACGUUAACGGUUAACUUCUAAAUCGAUUUCUUUGAAUCCUGAUUACUUGGCAUGUUCAUAGUUUGUGGACUGAUAUUGAGUCUCCAUCAAGUUAUUGCUCUAUGAUAUUGGACUCAGACAUGCCGAUUCUUUAUUUGGCAAUAUCUUUAACCUCAACUCGUAACAAUUCAACAAUUAUUCCAUUAAUAUAUUAACAAAAUAUCAUCUUGCAAAGUUCAUUUGCCACUUAACUUCAGAUGUUACACCUGGAAGAUACUUAGCUGCUGGCCUAACAAAAUGUUAGAAGGAAUGCAUUCUGUUUGUUCUUAAUAUAGUCCUUUUUGCCUCCGCUUUGCAUUUCGAGUGAGCAGAUGUUUGAACACCUAAAAGAUACUGCUGUUGUUUAUCGGAGUUAUGGAGUAUUUGAUGUUUGAAUUGUUUACUGUAAGUUGUUUCUUAAAAGAUGUGUUUUUGUACCACUGGUUUGGCAGGGAUAAGAUAAAGGAGUACAGAGAUGAGAGCGAAUGGUUGCAGUCAUCUUUAUGACUCGUCAAUCUCGAACAUCAAUUUUGUUGCAUUGCUCAGGUUAGGAAAUUUCAUCUCAAUUUUCACUUUCUUUUGUCAUAUCACUGCUUGACUCAUGAUGUUGCCAGUAACCAGCCUGAGUGCACACCAUCUGCACUCUUGGACAUGACUCAAGAUACUUUGUCUAUUUUUCAAAUUGCUUAGAAGAAAAAUGUCAGUUAAAAAUAUUGGACAAGCAUUGGCUUGCAUAUUACCAACCAAUUUAGGGCAUGUUUGGAUCCACCUAACUAAUCUAUUAGCUGGCUAGAUGAAAUGAAAUUUGUUGGGCUGAGCGUUAGCUAGUGUCAUUUGGAUCCACUUCAGUUAAAAUUAGUUACCUACCGAUUAAACCGAUUAGCUAGUGGAUCCAAACAGAUUUUUAUCAGUCUAUCACACAAUGGGUGCCUCAUAUCAUAUGGCCUUGUAAACAUGAACCCCACCAACUCAUCAUGGCUAACCCAGCACAUAUCAUCAGCAUGCUUGUCUUCUUUGUCUGUUUGUUUCUUUUUCCUGUGAGCAAUACUCAACUGAUUCCAGUAAGAUCUCGUUUGGAUCUCUUCAUUUUGAGGAAUUGGAAUCUAAGUAGGUUAUUUGUCUUGGAAUGUGGCAUUCCACUAUACUUAAAUUCAUAGGGGUGGGAGAUGGAAAUUGAUUCUAUAGACCUCGUGUUAUAUUUCCAAUGUACAACUUAUAACAGAAGUGCGGUGCAUAAGUAUUUCUCUCGUAUAACCAACAAUAAUAUACAAAUAUAUUACACAUACAACUAUAUUAGCUUAAUUAAUUUAUAUCUAAAUUAUGAUUAUUAGAAUGGAAUUCAAUUUUAAAGAUCCAAACGGACCUAAGGAUUUUUGUUUUUCCUAAUCUGAUCAGCUGCUCUGGCGAAUAUUUCAGUAGGGUAUUGCCACUGCAAAGUUUGAGUGAAGUCUCCAAUGUUUCUCAGGGAAACUAACUCUGGACCGUUUGCGACAACCUACUGUCAACCUCAAGCGUAGAUCAUGGUCAUCUUCGCUGUAUCUCUAGAAAAAAAAAUGACAACUCUGCCCUAGCAAUGAAAAAUUGGUGGAUGUAAUUUCCGAUCUUUUAUUUACACAUUUUAAUCAGUUAGUGUAAUCGAUGAACUGUCAUCUAUCUGACGGGUGUGGACUGUGAUCUGUCUGAUGGGCGUAGCAGCCUGGCUUCAUUGUUGGAACACCAGCGGUUAUGCUUGCUUGCUAGCUUGUAGAGUGACAACCUGCGGGUUGUGAUUGUUCAAUGUAAAUGGAUUGGCCUGUGGGUUCUAACAGGAUCAAGGCUGGGUUAGGUUCGUUAAUCAAAGGAUUGGAUUGGAUGCACCAAACCAAUUCGGGAUUAUAUACUUGGUUAAGGAUUGGAUUCACUCCCUAAUUACACAAGAUUGAAGCAGGGUUGCCUAGGUACAACUCAACAAAGACAAUAGACCAUCAACUCCACCUAAAACCACCAACCGCAGCAGCCAAAUUGGGUCUGAUUGCUCGUAAUAUGUUCAACGAAAUGCCCGACAAAGAUUCUUGCCCGAGUACGCAGAGCAUCUAAACCCGCUAUGUAUCUUGUUCAUGCCAAUAUGUAGGGAUUUAAAAUGAACACAAUACACAUGGCUGCUAUGUACUGUUUACCACUCUACAAUGGUAUGACAGACAGCAACACAAAUGCUAGGCAACGGUACAUAUAUAUAUAGAUGAUACAACUUGCAUUGGGCGCGGAGUCCGGCGAUCAAUACCAAAUUACCGAUCAAUCAGGUGAUCUUCCUCUGCUCGAGCUCUCUGCUCUCCCCGAGAUCAGCCUCCAUCUUCUUGUCCACGUUCUUGCAGAACCCAGGGUAUGGCUCGUAGCCAAACAGCUUGUUCAGUAUCUGUGCACACAAAGAACCAGCAGAGACCGAAGAGUUAGCACAGCUCAACGCAAUUUCAGUUCAACGUAUGCAGAUGACUGAAAGGUUGGCACAUGUUUGCGAACUGUGGUUGUGCUUACCUGCAGGAAGAUGAGGAAUGGCUCCAUCAAGAACACCUCAGGGAGCUCACCCAGAGUCGGCCCCUUCUUCUGCAAAAAGUUGAACGAGAGAAAUUAAACAAGCAGGAUAUCCUACCAGAUCAGCAGCGGAGGCACGGGUGGGGAGGACGGCGAGGGAAAGGGGUCGGAUCGUGUCUGUUCCUGGCCGUACCUCGAAGAGGCCGUGGCCGAGGAACUGCCAGGUCCAGCAGAAGAGCUGCGUGGCGAGGACGAGCCUCCAGGAGGCCGCGAAGCCGAGGCGGGCCGCGAGGGCGCGGCUGGCGGCCCAGGCGGCGAGGAAGAGCAGCCCCGCGAGCGCGCCGGCGCGGCGGUCGGCGGCGAGGUAGGCGGCGGCGUAGGCGAGGGCGAGCGCGAGCGCGGGGUCGAGCGGCGGCGGCAGCGGCAGGAAGCGGAGGAUGAGGAGGUUGGUGAAGAGGAUGGGCCAGGUGAGCAGCGCGUGCGCCGCCGCGUUCACGGGGUGCCGGUGCUGCGACCGGAAGAAGGCGAACUGCGCCUCCAGGUCCAGCACCCCGCGCCGGCGCGCCGCCGUGGCGGCCCCCAUGGGCGCCGGGGCUCCGGGGAAUCUGGGAUCAAGGGGGGCAGGGCAGCAGGCGGAGGUGCGUGCGGCGAUGACCCGCCUGAUUGUUUCUUUAAUCGAGCGAGCCAAAUCCUAGAGUGAGUCGCUGGCCGUCUAUAUAUAUAAUGGAACGGGUCGGCAUUGUUUUCACGUGACAUCUAAAUUACUCUACUCAUGUAGCCCUACAUUCGAAUGUAGGUGACGUCUUUUGUAAAAAGAAUAAAAGGGAGCUGCUCUAUGUUCUGAAAUGGGAAAUCAAUUUUCGAAACUUGAAAAUCAGCCUUCGCGUCACGAAUCUCGUGUGAUCUUCAUCGUAGGCAUGUACAGCCUUGAGACUCUUUGUAGAGUUUUCAAGGCAUAAUAGACACUAAGAGACACUUAAGUACAAUCCAAAAUCUCUACAAGCUAUCUUUUAAUAAAUAAUUAAGAGUAGAGACUCCCAAAACGACAACCAUUUAUAGGGUUGUACAUACUAGAAAUUGGAUGUUGUCCGUUACUCUUAAAAAGAUGUGCAAGAGACCGUCUCUUAACGAAGAGUCCGUCUCUUAAAAUUUUAUUCAUUUACCCCUUAAAACCCCUCUCAAAAGACGGCUAUAAUAAUGGGGUGUACGUGCCCCUAAACAAAAAAUAAAAACAAGUUGAAUGGCACAAAUAACGUGGAUCACUGGUUCGCGGGAUCUUCAUUUAGUGCUCUCGCCGUCGAACCAGUGGGCCCCCCCGCACUUGAAACCGCUCGCUCCUCGAGCGUAGGCGUAUAGGCGUAGAGCUAGAGAGCAGAAGAUGACGCGUUGCGCCGCAUUAACGCGCCGUCGUCGACUGAUCCUGCCCAUUUCGCGUCGUGCCGCUGCGCGUGUGAACAUUCGCGAGCGCUGUUGCUGCCUCGGGUCAUGUCAACAGCAACGGUGUGCCGUUGGUGGAGGGUAGAGACCGACCGAUCGGAUCUCGGGCCUGCUCGUCCACGGCGCGUUCAGAUGAGCAGCUGACGACUCCCGAACCCACCCGAGGAAUGCUGAUUGGUGGCAGCGGCCUCCAAGCCCGUCUGGCAGUGUGGACUCACCUCAGGGGUGUGAACGCACAAGGUGGACGCUUCCGCCCGCCCGUUCACACCGCAUUUGAUCUUGGUCUCUCCAUUCCAUCUACGGAGAUUAAUUGCUCAGCUAACAACCUAACAGGGAUGUGAUCCAAAGCCGUGCAAAAAAUUGUGGCCCAUGCAGGUCUCGAACCUGCGACCUUCGCGUUAUUAGCACGACGCUCUAACCAACUGAGCUAAUAGGCCGCUUUCAGAGAUCUGCACUAGUCUAAUUUUAUAAUUUCUGUCCAGUGCUCUAUAAUUUCACCAGCACUCCAUCGUCCAGUCUCCAGUCCAGUGCUCUCUUUUUUUUUGCUUUUUGAAAAGAAGUCCAGUGCUUUCAAUCAGUUGUAAAGUCUCCACGUAUUCACCGAAAAUGUUUGGUUCCCCAAUCCCCUAGCCACCACAUAUGAGAUGUAGCGACGAUUGCUGUUCCCCGGCACCGCGAGCGUGCGUAACUCUCACCUUGCUGCUGUCGCUUACGCCUGGAGCCAGCAGCUGCUGCCGGUAGGCGUUGAUUGGAGUUGUAUUUAUGGGUGGAGGUGAGUAUGUGAUGCUAGCUUCUUUGAUUUAUUUGCCAUAUUUUGGAUGCAGGAUGCUGAUUCAAAUAUUUGGUUGCUCGAUUGGGUCGUUGUUUACUGCUGUUGCAACACAAACAUUUAAAUCACUCAACUUACAGCCGUUGCAAAAAUAGUACCCGUUACAAAUGAAAAAAAUUAAUUUGAAUUCCAAUAAAGUAUACAUUAAAGAAUACAUAGAGACAGAUUCGACUAAUAUAAUAAAUAAUAUACAUAGAAAUAUGAAGAUAGAUUUAUGUUAAAUGUUCAGCGGAAAUUGAUACGAAAGACGGAAUCAUUCUAUUGUGCUAGCCUGCUUAGGACGAGUACAUUGGUACAUAUCAGCGAUAUCAUAAAUCGUCUCAUACAGUUUCACAUAAUAUUUUUAAUGAUGUGGAGGAGAGAGGGAAAGAUGAUAGAACGAGAUGGUUGUUUGACGAAAUAACCACCUCAUAAGUUAAAAUUAAGGACUACUUCCUCGGUCUCAAAUUAUUAUUCAUUUUGACUUUUCUAGAUUCAUAGAUUUUACUAUACACCUAGAUAUAAACAUAUAUGUAGAUACAUAGAAAACCAAAACGACUAAUAAUUUGGGAUGGAGGGAGUAUGAGAUAACUUUCUUACCAUUGUGCAAGAUGUGGUUAUCAUGCAACUUACAAUAUAUCUUUGUUGUAUUGUAUGCACAAAUUAAGGAAUUGAACAAUUACUCCGAGAUAAUCAAUUGUAGGGAUCUAAUCUUUAGGGUAUGUAUAUUGGAAUUUCAAUCUAUUGUAAGGAUCUAAGAAUAAUACACAUUGAAGAUUUUAAUAGACGGUAUCAUGUAUUGUUACGUAGUUUGAGAUAAUCGACGAUUUCUACAAUGGAUCGUCUUAUUGUAAUUGCUCAAUAUCUGUAUAAAAACGGAAUAUUCUUAAUUACGGCAACCACAACCUGUAAAUGAUAAAAUAAUUCUAUAAUCUUUAAGUUUAGCUUACUCAAUGUUCACCUAAACGAUAAACGCUAAUCGGUGUGGAUCCGUGUAGCGUAUAGACCGUGUACACGAUAUUACACGGAUUACACGUUUUGUAUUAUUUUGAUAAAUAUAAAUAGAGUAAUAUGUAUAUAUGCUUAAAACUAACAAUAACAAUAAUAAUGAUAAGUUAAAAAAUAAUUUAAAGUGAGAAUGACUAUUGAAGAGUUUUGCAUUCACUUUUGCGUGAUAAAAUCGAAUCUUUAAACAAGAUCUUUAAGCGAUAUGUUCUCUAUCCUAAACAGUACGCUACUUACCCUAAACGGCAUGCUACUCGUCCGUUUAGAACAUUUUUUUUCCGUGCCAUGUAGCCCGUUUAUCCCGUGCACACACAGUGUAACUUGUCUAAUACCGUGUAAUGUGUAAUAUACCGUUUAUAGUCUAAACUGCACGUCUACCCAUCGAGUAACGUUUACACGCUGUGUACACGGCCGUGUAGCCCGUGUAGGCGAACAUUGAGCUUACUAGUAUAAUGCCCGUGCGUUACUAUAGAUUUUUAUUUCAUCUGCAUCGUGGCAUUCUCCAGAGCUCACGCUUGAAAAUUCAUGGCAGCUAUGUUCCGACCUCACGUCAAGCAGGAUGCACUUACGAUGGCCACGUACGGCUGGCGGCCUCUAGAGCUUGCGCCGAGGAGCCCAUAGGAUCCGUUCUUUAAAAAUAGAUAAAGAUAAAAAUAAAAAUAUAGGUAAAGAUAAAGAUAAAGACGAGAUCUCUCUUCCACUCUUCAGCAUUGCGAAGAAUCCUACAUCUAUGAAGCCGCUCGUAUAUCUAUCAUGUAAUGCAACUGCCGUUAUAUCUAUCAAUGUAAUCUAAUUGUAGUUAGACGACUAGACAUCAGCGUUCAGCGAUCGAUCGUCGUGAGUUGGGGAUACAGCAAAGCCUACGCCGCGCUACCUAGGCCGUGCACGUGGGUCCACACGCGCGCCCGCCUGCCCCACAGGCCACACCCCGUUCGCCGGAUCGCGCAUCGUCUCCUUCUGGAACCACCCAACCCAACCCAGCCCAGUCAGCCAUCCCAAUCGCAAUCCCAUCAACCAAAGCUUCUCCCCCCCCUCUCUUUCCUCAGCGGCGCGCGGUUCCUCCCCCCACCCCCACCCCCCGACUCGGCUCCGUCCCCGCCCCCGCGGCGCGACAAGAAAACCCACCAAACCCUAACCCUAGCUGCGGCGCCACCGCCCGCCGGAGGGGCCCGAGCCAGCCCGCGAGGAUGCCGUCGGGGUCGGCGACGCAGUUCCGCUACACGCAGACGCCGUCCAAGGUGCUGCACCUGCGGAACAUGCCGUGGGAGUGCACUGAGGAGGAGCUCGUCGAGCUCUGCAAGCCCUUCGGCAGGGUCGUCAACACCAUGUGCAACGUCGGCGCCAACCGCAACCAGGCCUUCGUCGAGUUUGUAAGCCCCUCCCCCCCCCUGCUCUGCUCUUUCGUACAGGUUGCGAUCUCGGUUGGGCGGUAGCAAUUGGCGCCCCCAUGGCUGCUUCAGGGAUGAUUGGGGUUAGGAGGAUUUAGCGAUUAUCACUGCGAUUUAGCGGUUAUACACGAUAGCUGGUGAUGAGACUGCUGUAUGGUGUCUAGCCGGUAGGAUACUAGAUAAUUAUGAUUUAAGGGACUAGCUCGUCUUGUGAUUUCUGCUGUACUGCAAGGGAAUACUUAGGUCCAGAAUGACACGCUACUACUGGAUGAGAUGCAUUAGCUUUAUGAUUCCUGUUAGAAAUAUGUUGCUCUCACUAGAGGUUGUAAAAGGUUCAUGCAGCCUUGUUUUCUUUUGAUGUGGUCUAGUAUGAUAAUGUCACAUGGAUUUUCAGUAAUUCUAGUCUGUCCAAUAGAAUGUAAGCUCUUUUGGUGUUUUUUGUGCUCAUUGUAAUUGACUGCGUCGUGCCUUAUGCAACACAUGAUAUGUUGAUAUUUUAUAGGAAAAAUUGAUUUUGUUCGUUAACUUAAUCGAUUGCAUACACAUUGUGGUGAUGAUAGCUGUUUUAGCAUUUUUUCCCUGUGAGUAGUCAAGUUCUGCAUAGCUAUCGUAUCGCGCCAUGAGUGAUGUGAAGUGAAAGCGGAGUGGAUGGGACUUGGAGGGUUACAGUAUCUGCUAAGACACCUUUUUAUCUGAAGUGCCUACUUGCUUCACAACACAAUUAUAUGGUCUGGAAAGGGUUGUUAAUUGCUAAGUGAUUUUUGUUCAUCAUCCUGUACAUGGGUAUGAUUGUCUGGGAUCAGGUAUGAAUUGACUGUCUAGUUGAUAUAUAUUUUGCAGCAUCAGCUGUUAGGGUAACUACUAGCAAUGGAAACUCUCUUUUCGGAGAGUUUAGUUUAAGAUGGUUCGAUGUAAGAUUUGUUAAAUUUCUCAAGGGGCCUCAGGAAAGGCAGCUCAUAUUGAUGUAUUUGAUUUUAUGCAAAAAUCAGCACCAUGGAAAUACUUCUGUAGUUGCAGAAUUUGUAUUUCAAAAAUUGUUUUAUGAGAAGAUUUGAAGUUUUGGACUGGUAGAUUUUGUUGUAUAUAAUAGCAAAUUUCCAGCUUUGUCAACAGGUUCCUUAUUUUUUUUACUCUUAAACUUACUCAUUUUCAGGCGGAUCAAAACCAGGCAAUUUCAAUGGUUUCCUAUUACGCUUCAUCUUCCGAACCUGCUCAAGUUCGUGGUAAAACUGUAUAUAUCCAAUAUUCAAACAGGCAAGAAAUUACCAACAAUAAAGGCACUGGUGAUUCUUCUGGCAAUGUCCUGCUUGUCACUUUUGAAGGUGUUCAGCCUAAUGAUGUUACCAUAGAAGUCAUUCAUUUGGUAAGUAUAUUUAUGUUUGAAUGUAUUCACUUAGCUGCUAGAGCAGUUUCUGCAUCACUUGCGCUGUUUCUCAUUAAACCUUCUGCAUCAGCUUGUCUGUGCUUAAUAUGACUUAUAUUCUUGAUACUUUCCUGUUUGUUGACAAGCUCAGUGAAUUCUGCCUUCAAGUGUUCAUCAUUUCUGUUGAUUAAACUCUGUUAAAUUAUAAACUUUAGGACAUAUAUGUUCCUGGCAAGAAUUAUAAUAUUAGUAAGCACAAAGUCAAUAGAUUCAGAAAAUUACUUCUGUUUCUAAUUUUUCAUUUUCUGACGAAUUCUGCUUCUUUAAUAUAGAACUCCUCUGUCUAUGACAUAUUUAAUGAUGUCUAGUAGCUACCUUGUGAAUGAGCCUCCAGUAUGAUUCAUGGAUGUCCUCAAAUCUAUUCUCUGCUUAACUUUGUGCUUGCUAUUCUGCCAUUUUGUUAGGCUACUAUUCUCAAGCUUGCUAACAAUUGUUAGUGCCGAUAAUUUAGGUAUUUUCAGCAUUUGGAUUUGUUCACAAGAUAGCUACUUUUGAGAAAGCAGCUGGUUUCCAGGUAAGGUAGUUGUUCUCUCAAGUUGCCUACACAUUACCCCAUCGGACAUUUAGCUUAACAGUUAGACUUUUCACAGGCACUUAUCCAGUAUACUGAUGCCCCAACUGCUCUUGAAGCUAAAAACUCAUUGGAUGGAAGAAGCAUUCCAAAGUAAUGUGUUUUACAAUUUUCUUAGUUGCUAUUGUUGAUUACAGAGCUUCCAUACAAAGUUACUAAUGUGAUUUUUCUCUUUCAGAUACUUACUUCCAGAACAUAUCAGUGCCUGCCACAUGCGCAUAACCUUUUCUGCGCACAAGGAUUUGAAUAUCAAAUUUCAGUCACACCGCAGCAGGUACAAGAAAGUGGCAUAAACUGUCAAUCUGAUCUAACAUUCUCUUUUGUAUAUUGUGUACUCCCUCCAUAUGAAUUUUAAAGGCAUAGAGUUUUGGCAAUCUUGUUCCCAAAUAUAUGGCGUGUACUUUAUGCAAGUCUGAUGCUUUUCUUUUCUCUCUCCAUGUUCCUAUUUGCAUGUCACGGGCACUUGCUGGUCUUAGUCCAUUCCUGAAUAAAAAUGGCCACACAGGCUUCAAGGCUUGCCAUGUCCUGUUGAUACUGUUUUAAAAAACAAUAUUACCUGCUUUAGUGCUAUGCUGUUUAUUAAUCCUCUAGCUCCCUUUUGACACAAUUUUGUUGGUUGAGCAGGGAUUACACUAAUCCUUAUCUUCCUGUGAACCAAACUGCAAUUGAGGGGAUUGUGCAGGUUCGUUUCAUAUACCAAUCUCAUGCUAUUUCGCUUCUUUUGCCCUUUUUACAUUGUUCCUUACACAAAGGUAAAUUUGCAGCCCACAGUAGGCCCUGAUGGAAAGAUAAAGGAGCCUGAGAGCAAUGUACUUCUAGCAUCAAUUGAGAACAUGCAGUAUGCUGUGACAGUCGAUGUUCUGCACACUGUAAGAAUAAUCCUGUGUUUAUUCAACAUAAAGAACUUAUUUGAAGGCAAGCUGUAUAAUUACAAUAAUCCAACAAUUUCAGGUGUUUUCUGCUUUCGGUACUGUUCAAAAAAUUGCAAUGUUUGAGAAGAAUGGUGGAAUGCAGGCUUUAAUUCAAUAUCCAGGUAUGUGCUAACUCAAUUGCACCCAACAAGAUAUAUCAUAUAUGCUCUAGCCUUGGUGAACCCUGAGAUAAAUGAUUGGCUGUAAUUUAUUACAUUGGCAUGUAGUUAUAAAUUGCUUAUACGUAGUCAUGCUUCAUGCAACCCUCUGUUUGAAAGUAUUGAGGUCUGGAGUUUUUUCAAACUUGUUUCAAAAUGUAUCGUGUGUAUGCAAAUUUUAUGAUGUUUUUUUUUCAGUUUUUCCCCUGAUUUAUAUCCUAUCACUCUUUCCCCCACUCGUCAACAUUUAUGAGUAACCAGUCGCACUGUUAUUCUCUCCCUUUUUGCAUCACAAGUUUCUAAGUUUGGGAACUUCAGCAGAGAGGUGUCGGAGUUCGUGAAGGCAUAGAAUGGACAUCUGCAGCUUUCCACAGCUAUAAAGUUGCCUUUAGUAAUUUCUUGAUCAUUUUUUACCUUUUGCUGUAAGCAUACUCUCUUUCUUACCAGAGGCUUGCUACAAACUUUCGUUCUGUCAACAUUACACUUUCCUCAAGAGCAGUCCUGCUUUAGGCGUGUUUCCUGUUUUACCUUUUGGGGAUUAGAGUAGUCAGCACCUCUGUUAUCAACAUGUCUGAGCAGCGCUUCUGUUGUUGAAAAUAGUCUUCCCAUCUGAUUUGUGGUCCUUCUCUCUAGCUUAUCAAGACACAUUUUUGAGAAGUGUGGCAAUCCAAAUGACAUUGAGUGCUCAAUACUUUUUCCACUAGUUAGUGGUCUAUAGUUGUAAUUGAACUGCUUUGGAACAAAAAGAAGGUUUAAAUACCCUUCCGCGCACACUUUUGACAUCAUGUCCUUGGAUCCUUAGCAAACUGUAAAUUCUUUCUUGUUUGCAUUGAAUUGCUAAAUCUGUUUUCCCCCUUGCCUUGACACUAUAGCAUUAAUAUUUAAUAUCUAUAUGUAGAUUCAUUUGACUGACAAAAGCUAAGUUUGCAGAUAUAACAACUGCAGCAGUUGCUAAACAAGCCCUGGAGGGACACUGCAUAUAUGAUGGUGGUUACUGUAAGCUUCAUCUGUCAUACUCUCGUCAUACUGAUCUCAAUGUAAAGGUAUAAAUAGUAGUUUCAGGCUGUGUAAAUUAGCAAACAAUUGAUUUAUUAAAUAUCCUUGUGGACUAAUAAUAAUGAAUUUGACUCAAUUAGUAAAACAGAAUACCUAUUGCUGUUCAUUCAAUUUGACAAAGUACGCUUUCUCAACAUUGUUUUCCUUGUUCCUGUUUCCUGCUUUCACCUUGUUCUAACUGGGGGCCAAUUUGUUUGCAUUCAGGCGCAUGAUGAGAGAAGCAGGGAUUACACUCUUUCAGACCCUAAUGCUCAACUGCAAGCUGCUGCACAACCACCAGCUCUAAGCACUCCAGGAGUGGCAUGGCAGAACACUGCUGCGCCAGCUGCUCCGUUUUAUGCAAGCACAGCAGCAUCAACUCCUGCUGGAGUUGGACAAGUGCCUGGUUGGAAUCCUAACAUGCAGGCAGGGGCUUUUGCAUCUGCAUCCACUCCGUACCCGAGCCAACCAAUGAUGGCAAACUCCAUGCCUCACUAUCCUGCUAUUGGAACCAGCUCGGGCGCCCCACCGGUACCAUUUCAGGCGUCACAGCAGAUGCCCCAGUACGGCAUCCCCCCUGGUGCUCCGCCGCAUGCACCUCCAGCUGGCCAGCCAAUGUACUUUCCGAAAUAAGGCGGUUCCAUUCGACGAUAUUGUCAGAGAGCAAUUGCGUGCUACUUGCAGCCAUUUGUGGUCUGCAUAUGCCCCUUUGAAAUUUUGGAAGUGCAUUGUAACUCUUCGAUGUAGCUCUUUGUAACUUGCGAGCUCGCAUCGCAAGUAUACCUCUGCGCCGGUUGUGUCUGUAAAACUGCCCACCAAAAAUAGAAAUGUUAAUCUAUUAGCUCGCAUGGAUUAUUGGUGCUGUGCUGUUGACUGUUGAGCUCAAUCUCGUGUUGAUGCCUCGCUCAAUUCUUGACGCAGAUGCCGUUGCUUCUCUGCCAGGGCGCUCUUGCUUUUGGCAACUUUUGUGGCAAGUGCUGUUACAUGAUUGUUUCCAUCUCCAAUAAACCAUACUGAGUAGUUUGGACGCUGAAAAACCAUUGUAACUUCAAUUUUGACACGAUGCCCAUGAGAAAUGCGCUUUGGAACAUGAUUUUGGACUGGGAAACAGUUUAUAACCAUGAAUUUAAAUGUGAUCUGCAAUUUCAGAGUUUCUACUCGGUUGCUUCGGAGUCAACCAUUGAUCCGUCAUUCACCAGGAUACUUUCUUUAGUUAGUGUCUCCGUGCCAUCAAGAUUUUUUUUUCCCCAUGGCACAACAGCAUUGUCACAGACAGCAAUACCUAAUAAAAUCGAGGCACCCGGGCGAUGUGAACCAGCCAUUUGGCCCGCGCCUCCUGUCCGACGUGGCAGCCAGCACCAGCCGCGCCAUCCAAUGGCAACACCCCGUUUGAUUCCCCCCGUAUCCCAGCAUCCGGAUAACGCUGGAUAAGAGCCCCCCGCUCCCAUUGGCCGCACCUGCCCCGGACCGCAUCGCCGCCGUCCGUCCCAGUCGUGCGGCCGAUCCCCGCCGUCCAUCCCCGCCGGAGCCUCCUGGCCACACCCGGCGCGUCCCGGCAGUUUAAUACAAACCAGGCUGCUCCUGCCGGCUAAAACGAACGUGCUCGCUCCCCUCUCUGCCACUCCAUCCCGGGAAAGCUGCGAAGCAUGGCGUCCGUCACCGCCCGCGCCCCGGUCGCGGCCCUGCGCCCGUCGUCGGCCUUCCUCGGCCACUCUAGCCGCCUCGGCCGCGCCGCCGCGGCGCCGACGAGGCGCAGCCUCAAGGCGGAGGCCAAGGGCGAGUGGCUCCCCGGCCUUGCCUCACCCGCCUACCUCGACGGCAGGUCAGUGUUCUUCCGACGACGUGAGGCAAAUUAAAACCUUCCUAGUAACUCCGGCCAUCGACGGCAGCUGAGCUGACUGACAUGUGUGCUGAUGCGGCGCGCAGCCUGCCGGGCGACAAUGGCUUCGACCCGCUGGGCCUGGCGGAGGACCCCGAGAACCUGCGGUGGUUCGUGCAGGCGGAGCUGGUGAACGGGCGGUGGGCGAUGCUGGGCGUGGCCGGGAUGCUGAUCCCGGAGGUGCUGACCAAGGCCGGGCUCAUCAACGCGCCGCAGUGGUACGACGCCGGCAAGUCGGAGUACUUCGCGUCGUCGUCCACGCUGUUCGUCAUCGAGUUCAUCCUCUUCCACUACGUCGAGAUCCGGCGGUGGCAGGACAUCAAGAACCCCGGCAGUGUCAACCAGGACCCCAUCUUCAAGAGCUACAGCCUGCCGCCCCACGAGUGCGGGUACCCCGGCAGCGUCUUCAACCCGCUCAACUUCGCCCCCACGCUCGAGGCCAAGGAGAAGGAACUCGCCAACGGUGAGCACCGUAGCGCCGCCGCCACCCGCCGGCCGGCGAACUUCCGGUACCUUCUCGCACUGACGAAAUGCUACUAACCGUAUCUUCCCGGCUUUGCCGUGCCUGUGCGCGUGUUGCAGGGAGGCUGGCGAUGCUGGCGUUCCUGGGGUUCCUGAUCCAGCACAACGUCACCGGCAAGGGGCCCUUCGACAACCUGCUGCAGCACCUGUCCGACCCAUGGCACAACACCAUCAUCCAGACCCUCUCCGGUUGAGUACGUCGAUUUGGCGGUGGUGCUGAUGGGGAUCGGAAUGAGGACAAACAUUGAGACGCGGUCGGUCGAUGUGAGUUCCUUCCUGUGGAUGGAUCAUCAGUGUGUUGAUGUGUGUUCAGUCUGGAGAGAAGAAUUCAGGGCGUGUUGUAAUUGUAAUGCUGGUGUGCAUGGUGAUGAGGGGAGUGUGAGGAGUGAUUGGUAUGUACAUUAUUAAUGACAGGGGAGGUUAAGGGUAGAGAUUGUUUGAUCAGUGUCUAUCCGUUCUGUGCCUUUUACUUGCUUGUCCGAAGUGCGAAAUUCUGUGUGGAAUGUUCAAUAGCCACAGAUUUACUGGAAGCUAGUAAUCUUGGUUCAAACAAAAUAAGAAGUACUGCAAGGUGAAAGUGAAACCGAGACAUGAUAGCUGGCCAGGGGAGACCUGCCUAGCAUAGCACAUUAACAUCGCAGCUGUGCCAGCAAUCACAAUGAAAUAGGCAAUGUUCAGCAUUCGUGAUGUCUGAUGAAAUACAAUUAUAGUUACAAGAACCUUGUAAAGAUAAUAUAUUCAUGAAAUCGUGAGCGAUGCCGUAUUGGAAGGAAAUCAUGUCGAUGUCUUAAUUGACUUGUACCUCA
rnacentral:lncRNA from 1 species